rnacentral:lncRNA from 1 species
UCAAACUACAUGGGCAUUAUAUCAGGGAGUUGCCUGAUUCAAUUAGCAACUUGAAGCAUCUACGGUACCUCAACUUGUGUGGCAGUCCAAUAAGGAAAUUACCAGACACGGUAUGCAGUUUGUAUAAUUUACAAACGUUGUUGCUAUCAAAUUGUACAUGUCUAGCUGAGUUGCCCACCAAUUUGAGAAGACUUAUCAACUUGCGCCAUCUUGAUUUGAGACGUACGAAAAUAAGAAAGAUGCCCCCCCCACAUGGGCAAGUUGAAAGAUCUCCAAACAUUUGGGAGGUGAGUUUGUCUUGAGCAAAGAUGUCGGGGGAAACAUUGAUGAGUUAAAGGGGUUUCAGCAUUUGAGUGGAAAUCUUCAUAUUUCAGGGCUUCAAAAUAUCACACGUGCUGAGGAUGCUUUGGAGGCCAAACUGAGGGACAAGAAGCUCAGUGAAAUACGUUUGAAAUGGGAAGGUGACACUAUUGAUUCUGAAAACGAUAGCCGAGUGCUAGGCAACUUGCAACCCAAUACAAACCUAAAAGUAUUGGCUAUACAAGGAUACGGAGGUACGAAGUUUCCAGGUUGGUUGGGAGAUGAGUCUUUCUCUAAUCUUGUCACUCUCCGACUUGAGACUUGUGGAUAUUGUUUCUCCCUGCCAGCAUUGGGGCAGCUACCGUCUCUCAAAAGGCUUGAAAUUGAUGGGUUGAAUGGAGUGGAAUCAGUGGGGUCUGAGUUUUAUGGGGGAAUUAAACCUGCAUUUAAAUCUCUGGAGUUUCUGAGUUUCUGCAGUAUGCGGGAAUGGCAAGAGUGGUGUUUCCCUGGAGGCGGACAUUUUCUAAUCUUUGCGAGCUUAGUCUGGGGAAUUGUCCCAAACUAACGGGGAAAAUACCGUUAGACUACUUCCCAAGACUUGAGCGGCUAAGUUUGCAGAACGUUAAAAUCGUAUAUUUUGUGGGUGGUGGAGUGUUGCUUGCGCCCAACUUGUGGUCAGUGCCAGAAGAUCUGCAAAUCUCGCUCCCAUCUCUUCAGUCUCUGUCCAUAGAAGGGUGUAAAGAAUUUAAAUCAUUUCCGGAAGAAUCUAAAUUCCCAUCCCUAAAAAAUUUGAAGAUAAAGGAGUGCCCAGAAUUUGUUGGUUUCCCCCAUGGGGGAGGACUGCAAGCGCCCAACUUGAAGACGAUGCAAAUCAAAGAAUGUAACAAAUUCAGGUCACUGCCAGAGGAGAUGCACGCUUCUCUCCCGUCCCUUCAGUGUCUGUCCAUAGAAGGGUGUAAAGAAUUUGUGGGUUUCCCCCAUGGAGGAGGACUGCAAGCGCCCAACUUGAAGAUGAUGCAAAUCAACGAAUGUAACAAAUUCAGGUCACUGCCAGAGGAGAUGCAAAUCUCUCUCCCGUCUCUCUCGUCUUUGUAUAUAUGGGAUUCUCCAGAAUUGGAAUCAUUUCCGGAAGGGGGAUUGCCGUCCAAAUUGCGUUACCUCAUUAUCUGGUGUUGUAAAAAACUGAUGGCAAACCGUAUGCGGUGGGGUCUACAAACACUCACCUCUCUCAAAUUCUUGGAUGUCAGCUUCUCAGGAUGUGAAGAAGAAGAAAUUGUCGAAUCAUUUCCAGAAGAGGGGCUGCUGCCAAUCACUCUCACUUCUCUCGGAAUCUCCCAUCAUCCGAAUCUGAAAACCAUUGACGGCAAGGCCUUAAGACACAUCAUCUCUCUCGAGGAGUUGUAUAUUUUUUAUUGUCCUCAACUCCAGAGCUUGCCAGAUGAAGGGCUACCCACUUCUCUUUCUUUUCUACAUAUCACCGGGUCUGAUUUGCUAACACAACGGUGUCAGAGAGACACAGGAGAAGAUUGGCCCAAGAUUUCUCACAUCCCCAACGUAAGGAUUAAUGACCGAAAGAUAUGAUUUGCAAUGGUAAGUAAUUCGUCAACGUUCGUUUGUGUUUAUUUACGAUCUGGCUGUGUAAAUUUUAAAUCAUAAAUAUGUUUCAAAUGUUAAUAUUCACGUAAUAACAAACAAAUUUUGCAGAUACUCCUGUCCCAUAUAAACUUGAAAGUAUUUGUGAUAGAAAGAUACGGAGCUACAAAAAUUCCAAAUCUGUUAGGAGAUGACUCGUUCGUUCUCUCAUCUUGUUACUCUUCGACUUAUGGAUUGUGAAUAUUGUUUUUCAAUGGCAGCAUUGGACAGCUACCAUCUCUCAGAAGGCUUGAAACUGAUGGGUUAAAUGGAGUGGAAUUGUUUCAGUGUUGGUUCUACUCUCCCUCUUUUCUUACUGUGUCUUAUGGUGGUUUCAUUAUACGACAGUUUGUUGUAUCGAACUAGUCCUCGGGGAAAAAGGAGCUUCAACAAGUUUACGAAAUUACGACCUCUAGUUUCCAAAUCUCCUUUUUCAAGUUUUUUUUUUCCAAAUCAUGUCUAUUGAGAGGUAGAUUUUGGUACUUUGUGGAAUUUGAAUUCAAACGCUUGGUUUGUAAAAUAUGGAUGAUGAAUUUCGUUUCUGUGGAACUGUGAAUCAAUGAUCAUGCAUGAAUGUUGUAAGACUAGAGUAUCAAAAACCCUCUGUUUACUAAUCAAUCUCAACCGGACUAAAUUCGACUUAUUUAAUUAGUAUUGCAAGAUGAUAUUAUCUAUUAAUCAUUGUCUAAUCAAUUGAUUGUUUUGUAAACUUUUUAAUGUAAAAGUGCUUAUAGUUUCUUGGGACGAGGAUGGUGAAGAUUAUACGGAGAGGAGGUUGAGAGCUUUCUUCUCCAGGUUUGGCGAGGUUGAAGAAAUGCUCUUUAAGAACAGAGGUCCUGCGGAAAUUGUCAUGGCAACUAAGGAUGCAGCUGUGAAGGGGUUUCAACAUGACUGCGCUGUUCAUGAAAAGUUUGAAGGGAAAAAGCAGCAAUGAUGAACUAGGGUUUCAAAAUUUGCUUGUGUAUGCCAUUACUUUUAGUUUUGGUUUGGUUAAAACGCUACGUACAUUCCCAUCAUCUGAUUUAAUUUACAGUUCCUAACCUCAACUCACGACUAAAACUGGAAUUGCUAAGAAAAACUCGAAAUAUAUUGCAAACCAGAUUCUGUAUGCAAGCAAAAACAUAUUCAAUUAUCAACGAAUGGGGACUCUGCAAGAUCAAUAGCGCGUGCAAGUGCAGCAGCCUUGUUCUUGCACUCCCUCUGCUCAUCAGCUGGAUCACUGUCAGCGACAAUUCCUGCCCCGGCUUGGAGAUGAGCGACCCACUCUCUUUGCUUGUUUGCAUCCUUGUAUGAAUACAUUGUAUCAUACCGAAAGCUAGUUGGGAAAACAAUAGUUCUCAGAGCGAGGGCGAUGUCCAUGUUGCCAGAAAACGAAAUUCCCCAAAGCCACCACUGUAUGGACCACGUCUAGUCACUUCUAGCUUAUCGAUCAGCUCCAUGGCUUUCACCUGCAUUGCAGUAAAUGAGGAAACUCGAAAAUCCUAAGCGAGUCCAUACACAACAUCGUGUUCCAUAUAUCAACCAUUAGUGGUGUAAUAAGCCGAUUCCUAACUGAUUAGGUUAAUCCUCAAGGCUUUUACUCGCAGGAUUAUACAGGUUAAUUAGUCUAGGAUCAAUUUAGCUAACUGUUAAGAAAUAAAACAAGAAUAAAGGUCGUACCCAGUGCACAAGGCUCCCGCUUUACAGGUUAAGAAAUAAAACAAGAAUAAAAAGGUCGUACCCAAGGAUUUAAAUAUCGGUAAUAUCGGAAAUAUCGGUAGUCCGAAAACACGGAAAUAUCGAUGGAAAUAUCGGUAUAAUAUCGAUAUCGAUAAAAAUUACAUGGAAACCACGGAAAUUGUAAGAAAAACUUGGAAAUUUUUAUUGAAACUUUGCAGGAUGUUUAUUUAGUCAAUUAUCUAUUAAUUUAUCACAAAAAAUUGGAAGGAAAUGCAUUGCAUGAUGGAUUUAACAUUAUCAAGUUGAUUAUAUAGCGAGCUGGCAAACAUUGUGAGUGUAGAAAAUAUGUAGUAAUUAAUGAAAGAAGUUUAAACACACCAUAAUCAUUAUAUAUAAUGAAUUAGUACAAUAUUUUACACUUUAUACAUUGCAUGGAAAGAUACAUGAGUGACUUAGUACCACAUAGAGUUCUAAUGAGGUUCAAAAUUUUCACCUUGGUGUUUUUUAAAAUAUAGAAAUUUAUCUUAGAUAAUAAAUAUUAGCUUGCAAACCUUGCAGACAUCUUAAUGACCAUAUAAGGCUGAAUAUGUAAUCACAAACACAUCUGUAACAAGUUGGAUAAAGCCCAGGUACGUGGUUGACAAAGGAAGGGUUCAAAUAUAAUCUGCUUGCUUAGUUAAAAAAAACAAAAUAUUAUCUAAAUAAUUUAUAAUUUAUAUAACAUAUAUAUAUAUAUAUAUAUAUAUAUAAAAUAUAUCCUAAACUUUUAAAAAUAUAAAUGGAUGGCCUUCAUUAUUAAAAGUUAAAACCAUGCACCUCUUUCACGUCACUUGUCUAAAAGUUUUAGACUAAAACCAUCAAAGCCAAUGGUUUUGUUUUUUUUAAGUCUCCCGUCCCACCACCAAGGUUUUCUCUCUCUCUCUCUCCCCGCACUGUCCCCUCCUCCUCCCUCAUCUUCACAGAUCUCUGUUCCUCUCUCUCUCCCCGCACCGUCUCCUCCUCCUCCCUCAUCUUCACAGAUCUCCCCCUUCUCGAUCCUUCUCUCUUCUUCUCUGAGGCCCUCGAUCCUUCUCUCUUAUUCUCUGAGGCCUGACCUCUCUUCUCCCCCUUCUCCAUUCGACCCACACACACACAGAUCUCCCCCUUCUCCCACUCUCUCGAUUCUUCGCCCACUCUCUCGAUCCUUCGCUGCCGUUGAUCGUGGCUCUGGCGAAGUCGGACUUGGCUUAGUCGUCUCUGGUGGUGCGCCGCUGAGCAAGGAGUUGGCCCAGUCAUCGAUUUUUCAGGUGAGAUUCCAUUGAAAACCUAAGUCCUAAACCGACAUCACAUAUGUUGAAUCGUUGAUGCAUGCGUGAAAUUUGAAGCUUAUAUGUGAAAUUGAAGUUAAAAAUCGUGUUUUUGCCAGGUUUUUGGGACGAAAUGGGCUCAGGAAUAGGCACACCAUCUCCGGCGUUCUUCUCCGGCGUUCGAUAUCGGAGGCCGAUUGCACCGUUCAACAAAAUAUCUCGAUAUUUCCAAAAUAUCGCGAUAUUAUCGAUAUUAUCGAUAAUAUAGCGAUAUUUGGACGAAAACCACACGGAUACCUAUUUAAAUAUCCAUUCCCCGAAAAAUCGAUAUUAUCGGCGAUAUUUCGCCUGAUAUUCGCCUGAUAAACCUUCCCGACAUCAUUCCUCCCCAAGUCUACAAGCAUAAUAUGCUCUGCACAUUGCUUUUCAUCAUUCAAAACGUACUGUAUCAUAAGAGAAGUAACCAACCCAGCCGCCUGAUAAAGAGAGUGGAUGUUGUUAACCACCAACUUGUGACUUCGAGAACCUCCAUUUUUAAGAUUGAAUAAUGCAAUAAUACAAGGAUAAAUUUAUGGCAAUUUUGUGCCAAAGAAGUCUUUUGCGAAAGCCCAGAAUAUCACGCAAUACAUAACACUAGUGUCAACACAGUACAUCUACAACCUAACAAAAUGUACAGGAAAAUAUGAGCACACUGAUAACCCACAGUUCUACUUGCCUAGUCCAAAACUUUGAGACUAAGAAGGGAAAAAUAAGCAAAGCAUGGUCUUCAUUUUUAUAAAUAACUUCACCACAACUUUACAAAUCUAAGUUUUGUUAACGAACCACAUUUAAGGAGAACUGGUUUACUUUGAACUGAGAGGAUUAAGAUAUGAGUACUACUAAAGCGUGUUAUUUGUGUACUUAUCAUACCACAAAAUGCUUCUGGAAGUUCAUCAAGAAGUUGGGGUGUCCAUCCCUCCAUGAUUCUCCGAGGAACAGUCAUUGGAUCCUCCACAAACUCCUCUGUCCUACAACCUUCUUUGUGGUCCAUAAUGGUAACCAUGUUCUCCUUAGCCACGAUUUCAAUGGAUGGUUGGGCACCAAUAACACUGUGCCGGCCCUAACAAAUGAUUGACACCAAAAAUUUGUAAGUGAUCAAUUAUGGUCUACAGUCAGAUGCAAACAAAUACAAAUGAUACAAGGGGCUGAGGACGCUUACAACAUUGGAGUCGUUGGAACCCGGCUCAACUGACUCAAACAGAAAACUUGGAGCAUCUCUAUCAUCCUCCUUAACCAGACACCGGUAAGCGAGAACAGGAGUUAGAUGAUCCGAGAAUAUGCUCCGAGACAGAGGAAUUAAAUUCCCCUUCUUCGAGGCUUCUACAAACUUCUCUGAUUCGUCGGCUGCAGUAAAAUCAAUCGUACAAAUCAAAACUCGCAUUAGUAUAACCAAUUCAGUUCCUUACAAACAGACAUUGCCUGACAGAAUCAAAAUUUUUAAUUCUAAAAUUUGGGCAGAUUAUAAUCAUAUAAUGAUCACCACUCUCAUUGUUCGGCUAAUCGAACCGAAAUUAGCAUUUUACAAUGUAAAUCAAAACACAAUUAACUAAAAACCCAGAAAUUCAUUUUCUUUAUUUUCUUCCAGCAAAACAGUCAUAGAUACUCAAAUGUAAAUGGCUAAUACUCAAUUAUCCCCCCAACGUUCUACAUUUUCUCGGAAACCAAACACAUCCCAGAAAGCAAAUGUAGUUGAAUCAACUGCUCCAGAAGUAAAAUUGAAACGAGCAACAAAAAAAAUUACAAAGGUCGGGAAGAAAAAAGACAAUGCGAAGAUGAAAAUUAAAGGAAUCAAGCGAAGGAGGAGGGGUGCCGAUGUGGGUAAUGUACAUAUUGCCUACCCGAAUAAACAUUAGAAGGAGAAGGACCCGCAUAGGGCUCCAUAUGAGCAACCAAAGACGAUUGACUCGUCAUGUGAUGGGUAGCACCAGUGUCGGGAUGCCAAAGUGGAUCAGGCUUCUGUUCAAACUGGGUUGCGGCAAAGGGUGCGGCCUGAUCAGGCCCACAGUACCUGUGCGGGCAGGUCUGGAUAUGCUGGAACGUAUUGCAGUUAUAGCGCCAAGGAGGGCCUAAAAUUGGGCCGAAAAUUGGGCCGAACAGGAACAAAGGGCUGCUCCAGUUUUUGUUGAUGGGGAUGUUGCCAAUGAUGCUGGACUGGGCCCGCAGCAUUAAAGGGCCGACCACCACCACUAGAAUUAAAUUAUGAGUAAUACUAUGUUUCGAAUAAGGAAAUAAACUUGGAAUUUGGAUAAAAAUCAGAAUUUAUAAAUUGACAUGCACCAAUUCCUUUAUUUGGAUUUAUAAACAUAGAAAUUUAGAAUUUCCGCGUGAAAAAAAAACUUGGAAUUUGGGGCCUCCAAUUCCCAAGUUUAAAUUCCAUGUAAAUAAGUGUCAUUUACCAAUUUCUAUGAUUGAGAGUUUAAAAUUAACAAAUUCCAUUCUCAAUUUCAUUGUUCUUUUAGGUUAACCAAAAAAGAAAAAUCACAAAAUCUAGAAAAUAAAAUCCCGUCAUUUCAAUUUUCGUCAUUUUAAAAUUCCUUAGUAAUCUUAAAUUUCUUCAUCCAAACAUAGUGUUAGGCUAUUCAUACCAGGUUUUUGUACCACAUUUUCAUACCAUCUUAGGUGACAUCUGAUGUGGACAGCUACAUCAUUUGAAAAUUUUGCAAAACCCAAAGAAAGAAAGGAGAAAGACUUCUCGUAUACCACAAUCUAUCAUUUAAUUAACUAAAUUUUAUUAAUUAUUAGUUUAUUAAAUAAUGAACUAAAUUUAAAAAUCUAAUUAAUUCAAAUGAUGUGGUUGUUCACAUCAAAUGCCACCUAGAGUGGUAUGAAAAUAUGGUAUGAAUAACAUUACUCUUAAAUUAUUGACAAGCGGAAUCCAAAACGCACCCAAAAAUUAGGUAAAUAUUUUUACUUUAUAAGAACGAGUGGUUAUCAUGUGUUGCAAAUUUGUAAUGCGUUUUUGUGGAGCCAAAAAUAAUCAAGAAUAAUAUAGAGGUGACACGUGGAUUCUAGGAUAAAAUGGACAAAAUUACCUUCGAGGCACACCGGAAUUCCUACGCACGAGCAGUGGACAAUCAUCCCUCAAUAAAGUUAAAAGUGCCCAAAUAGGUAUUUAUUUAUAACAUCCCUCAUCAUAUCUUCUCCACAAUGUAACCCAUAAAUCAUUCAUUUUUUAUUAUAUUAAUUAGCUAAUUAAUUGAUUAAUUAUUAAGUUAAUUUGCUAAUUAAACACAAACCAUGAACUUCACCCACAAAUCCAUCCAAGUGGCCGGUCCAUCUCCUCCCAAGGUGGCCGGCCACACCCCUAUAUAAACACCUUCAUUCUCUCCAAAACUCAAUUCCAAUUCUCUUGCUAAACUCUCUAAAUUCUCUAAAUUCUCUAAACACUUUUCCCUCAAAAUUCUAACUUUGGCAUCGAAGGUUCUUCGGCCAAAGCCCCCCCCAAAUCAUCAUGAGCGCGUGAGGUUUUUGGCCUUGACCUAAGGUGUUAUUUGUUUUGUAGGUGCAAUUUUGUCCAAGAGUAAGGAAGAAGAAAUUUGCAUCCACAAAUUGAUGCUUUCAUUGAGAGUUGAGUCACACGCUCAUAGAAGACUCUCGCAUCUAAGGUUUUUCGUUUCCUUGCUUAUUUGUGGAUUUUUCGAACGUUCUUAUUCUAUGAAUUUUUAUUUCUAAAAAUCCUUUGAUAAAACGUAAAAGAAAAGUACAAUAGCAAGAGAUUCUAAAAAUCCUUUGUAGUCUAAUGCCGAUGUAUUCUUUGAUAAUUUGAUUGCAUAUAAGAUUGUAUUGUUCCUUCUCUAUCCGAUAUAUAUGAAUUCAUAUGCAGAACUACUUGGUUUUCUAUCAUGGUCAAAGUCAAAUACGUGAACACAUUGCAUUUUUUUUAUAUCAGUUUGUUAUUCUAGAUUGCAUACCUGCAAAGUUCAAAAAAAAAAAAAAGUAUUUAUGGCUUUAAACUGAUCAGUUCCUUUUCCUUUCUCCAAUUCCAAAAUUUCUCUUAUUAAAAAUCAAGCAAAUUGAAGAUCUGUAGAACGAGGAUGAAAACUAAUCCUUUUCCAUCAACGUUUUGUGUUUUUAGUGGGUAGAGUUAUGCUCUACAAUGAAGAAUGUGAGUGACUUUGAGAGCUUGAAGGAAGACAAUCUCGCCGAAAUUAACUUGAGGUAUAUUUAGAAAAUAAUUUUCUUUUUAAAAUUUUAUUAGGGUCUAAAUAGUCAUUUUAUAUUAGAUAUGUAAGACACUUAACAAUAAAUUUUUAUGUGGGGUGUAUUCAAUAAUAUAUGAGGUGUUAAUACAAAAAUCAUUUUCUUUAACAAAAACAAUAGUUUAGUUCCACUGCAUACAUCAGACUUUGCACAAGCGAGCCGUGGUGGACAUAUAGUAAGUCAGAUUUUAGCAGAAUCAUUAGAGCAAGAUGUUUUAAUAGAUCCCUUUGAAAAUCUAAAAGAAUUUAAACAAAACUUAGAAUUCAGUUUUAAACUCCAGAAAGUUAAAUUUGAUAAAACAGACCUAGAUAAUCUAGUAAGAAUAGCAGAAGAAACUCAAGUCUUAGGAGAAGAUCCCAUGAAGUAUUGGGAUGGAAAUAAGUUUUUAGGAAAGAUAAAUAUUAUUAACCCAGAUUUAAUCAUUAAAACUAAAGAAAUAGCCUAUGAUAACCCAGAUAAAAGAAGAUUUUCAGAAAUAGAUCAAAGAAUUACUAUGGUCAGAAAUAGAGCAGUGCAAGUUAGAGGACAAGCUAGGAUGAUAAUAAAUUAUAAAAGAUUAGAUGAUUAUACAUUCUCAGAUGGUUAUAAGAUCCCCACAAAAGAUCUUUUAAUCCGUAGGAUUCAAGAUAAAAGAGUUUUUAGUAAAUUCGAUUGUAAAAGUGGAUUCUGGCAGAUUAAGUUAGAAGAAAGUAGUAGUCCAUGGACAGCAUUUAGUUGUAGCGAAAGACAUUUCCAGUGGAAUGUCUUACCUUUUGGAUUAAAGAAUGCACCUAGUAUUUUUCAGAGAAAAAUGGACUUAAUUUUUAACCAGAAACCUUAUUCAGAUUUUUGUAUUGUUUAUAUUGAUGAUAUUCUAAUUUUUAGCAGGACAAGGGAUGAACACGAUGAUCAUCUGUCAAGAAUUUUUCAAGCUUUCUUAGAUAAUGGCAUAAUUAUUAGCAAAAAGAAGUAAAAUUCUAGUUUAUAUGCAAAAACAAGCUAAAGAGUAGAAGAUGAGCUUUAUUUCAAGAUGCAAUAGCCAAUAGAUGAGUAGAAGUAAAAUUCGAACAUAUAAAAGGUAGUAAUAACAUUGUUCCAGAUUUACUUUCAAGAUCCUUUGAUAUUUUUUCAGACCAAUGGCAUCAUCAAGCAGCAGUUCUUCAGGAGCUCACUCAGCUCAGAGUUUUCCAGAAAAACAGCCAGUUGGCUUGCCGAGUUUUCCAAAAAUUUCAGAUAAAACCAAGCCAAAAAGAGUAGCUUUUUCGGAAGAUCUUUCACUUCCUUCAGUGGAAAAUCAGUUUUACAAGUAUAGAGUUCCCCAAAACUUCAUUAUAGAUGUUUUCCGGUGGUGUAUAAUGGAUUCAGUCCAUUAUUAUACCAAGUUUUUAGAGAACAGACAUCAAGCCGGACUCCUCCACACUUUGAGGUGUCUUUGCUUUGUUUUACAUCAAAUGAAUUUAAAAAUUAGAAGCAAUCAUUUUCAGAAUGCUGGCUUACGCCCGCAAAGUCUUUCAGAGAAAAUGAAAAUUAUGCUUUUUAUUGUGUUUUCAAAUGAAGAAACCCUGGAAUUUAUGAUUCUUGGGAAAAAGUUUGUGCAGAAAUUUCAGAAUUUCCAAAUAGUGUUUACAAAGGAUUUCACACUAGAGAUGCAGCAAGUAUAGCUUUUGCAGAAUUCAUGGCAGAGAAAAUCUGUAUCCUGAGUGAAAACAGUUUAAGGGAGGAAUUAGAGAAAAUAAAAAGACAACUAAGAGAGUUAAACACUCAGAUGAGCGUAGAGAUCGAGUGUUUAGAUGUAGAAUUAGAUUAUGAAAGAUCAAAGAAAGUUAAUGAGAUUGAAUUUGGAAAUCCAUAUGUUAGAAGAAAUUUUGAAAAGCUUCCAGCAGAAAUCCAAUUCCAGAUUCUCGAAAGAGAGGAAGAAGUUGGUUUCCUUUUCUACAUUCAAGUUUUCCAGAUUCUCGAAUCAAUGGAGAAGAGUUUCAGAAUUUCAGAAUUGGUGAUAAUCCUAGCUAUCCACUCAUUACGCUUGGAUUAUUAUUCGAUUAUGGUCUUACAGAAGAAAUCUAUAAUCCUCCAGUAGAUGAAGAUUCAGAAGUCUUUCCACAAGUUUUCAAAAGAUCUGUUUCCCUCUACCGGCAGCGAGGAAGACAGACUCGGAUUUUAAUUAGCAGUAUUCCACACAAAGUCAGAGAGUUAGAACACGAUAGAAGAGUGUUCGAGCAGACCAAGAGGAUGUUCAGAACAGAAUAUUUAGCAGGAUAUAAUAAGGUAUAUAUUAGGGGUCACUAUGCUCCUAAUACAUUUUCAGCAGUUGGAUUAGCCAGACAGAGGCUUUAAAGUUAAGGAGACGUUCAGAAUUACAAAGCUUAUUCUCUGGAUGAAUUUUUAGAAGAAUCUGACGGUCACAAUAAUGGCUUCUGUAGAAUUAUCAUAGAGACGGGCUACGGCUCACUUCUAACAACAUCGAUACUAUCCUCAACUUGGUAAUUAUCACAUGUACAAUCCGUUAAGUGUGAAAUUUUAUUACAAAAAGCCUCGAUAAUAGUUGAAGUGAGAUUAAGAUAUUUAAAUUCUUAUUUUUUUAUUGAUAUGGUCGAUGGAACAUUUCAAUAGCUUCACCAUGGUUGCAAUGGCCAGACACUACCAAAUUUUUUCAGCUCUCACUUUUCUCAGAAGACUCAUCUCAUCUACAGACCAAUCUUAGCUUGUGAUGAAGAAACAGCAGACGAGAUUGAUGACAUCUGGCAAUGCGUCAAUAAAGCUUGCAGCAUAGGAGAUAGAGACGAUAUUUCUAUCGACUCUAUUAUUGCAGACAAAGCAUGUGAAUAAAGCUUGCUCCAAAAAAAAAAAAAAAAAAAACAUGUGAAUAAAGCUUAUUCCCUUAUCUUUUGGUUUGUCGUGUUGCAGCAUUAUUGGAUUCCUUUUCCACAAUGCGUGUCCUUCGUGGACCACCUUACGUGGCUACCACUAGUUCGUGUUGGUAGGAGAUGCCUUCUUGGUGAAGGUAUUUUGUCACGUUUUGCUUCUAAGAUAUGUGUAGGAUCGACGUAUAACGUUAUCAAUAUUUGUAUAUCUACGAUGCCCUUGCUUCCGAGACAUGAUCGAAAACGCAAAUAAAUGGUUCAGCAACUCAGUAAUUUUUUUUUAUUUCAUUGUUGUAUUUAAUUUUUGUGUUAGACUCUCUAUAUACCCGAAGAUGGAAUCAAGUCGUUCGUAGUUCACGUUUUACCUUGUUUAGUAAAACAAACAAAAACAUCAUUAAUUAAGCCAGCAAACACACGCCAUCAUCAUAUGUUACACUUCCUUCUAAACUACAGCAAAUCACCAAAUAAUCAACAAACAACAUAAAUUCAAAAACUAAAAUCAAAUUAAUCCAUAAUUAAUCAUAAUUUAGCAUGAAAUCUCAUGAAGCACUCAUCUUUUGACUGAAGGCUCCACCAUGCCUUGUGAAAUUUCCAAUCAGCUUCCAGCCGCCAUAAUACGGCACUGUAUACAAUGCACUACGCUUAGUAUUGUAUCAUUAUACCUAUACGAAAACUUCAGUUGAUGGGCACUGUUUACCAACAGUGAUUUCACGAAAAUACCUUUCGUUUUUCUUCCCAUUCCUGCUUUGCUUUUCAAUGUUAAACAGUGGAUUUACAAAUUUCCCCUUACUAUUUGUUGGCUGGGGGUGCCACCACCUCUAAGAAGAUACCUGUUUGUUCCAUUUGGGUCCAGAAUCUCCCCAGUUCUCUUUCUCACAAACCACGAACCAAAAAAUUCUCUCUCUAAAAAGAUCACGAACCCCAGCACAAUCUCUCUCAAAACCUGUUAACCACAACACAAUCCGGUCCCGAUUCGAAGAAAGCUUUAAGCCCAGAAAAAGUUCGGUUUCAUGGUGAGUUCUCCUACCGAUUUGGUGCUUCUUUUUGUUUUUGUUUUUUCUAGAUAGCAUGCAGUCUUUUCUGAGUUAAUGGUUGAGGGCUUUGUUACAAAAAUAAAGUAGUGGUUGUGGGUCAGGUAUGAGGUUUUUUAGGUACUCAAGAUUCCUGAAUUCUAAAUGUGUUGAAUUUGCUUUUGUUUUUCACUAAUUGCAUGCAUCAUAGAAUUAAUACAAAUACAAAAUGGAAAAAUGAUUUUCAUCCAUAAAUAAUAUUCAAAUACUUGAAAAGUUUGUUUUAAAUUGGGUUUGGUUUCAUUGGUUUUUCUGAUUUUGAAACUUUUGUUUUCAGGCUCCAAAGGCUUUUAGGGGCUUGUUUGGUAUCAUAUUAAAAAAAAAUCAUUAUUUCUCAAAACAUUUUUUUAAGAAUCUCUCUUAAAAACAAUUUUCUUUUAAGAUUCAAAAACUUGUUUAGUAUGAGAUUUAAAAUUAUUUUUAAAUCUUAGAUAAGUUUGCUGAAAUUAAGUAUGGUUCCUUUGCAGGGGAGUUUGUUUUGAUUUUUUGUGGAAGAAUUCCAGUUUCCAGCGCUUCGUAUUCUUCAAUUACAGGUAAAUGAAUGUUGCAUGUGAAAUUUUUUUUCACCAAAUAAAGAAAACCCUUUUGUUGGGUUGGGCGAAGCCAUAUUGCUUCUAUUGGCAUAAAACUAUUCCCACACAAUCAAAGUAUGCAGUGGUUUGAUAAUUAAGUACAGAAAAUCUUCGGCUGAUAUCCUUCUUCUCUUUGCGUGAUAAAACCAUGUUUUUUGGAUUAUGAUGCUUAUUCUGAUUCGUAUCUGUAAUCAUUGAUGAUAUAACAUUGUAGGCUUGGAGUAGGUUUUGUAGUCUUUUUCCUGAAAUAUAACUGAGUACUUCAUAAUCGUUGCAGUCCUUGGUUUGUGAUUUUGUUGCUCGAGUACCGAGGUUUAUCUUUUGGUGCUCUCUUAUUGGUUCUCACAUUUGAUUCAUCUCACCAAAUCAUUAAUGUAGAUUUCCUCUUGAAAUUUUAGCUUUGAAAUAGGUAGGUGGCGAUCUUUGCUUGGCUCUAUCAGUUGAUUCACAUAACCUAAUAAUUGAAGUCUUCUUUUCCUUGGGUCGGAAAAAUGGCAAUAAUUCUACUUGAGUUGAUAUUUCUUAAAAAAAAACUAAUGAAAAGGGCAUCAAAUUUUUACAUUUUAAUAAAAAAUCAUCCAUUAAUUUUAUUUAAUGACAAGGACAAAAGAAUUAAAAAAAAACAUAAAAAACCGAACUUGCGCUGGGCGCGUCCCCCAACCCCCCUUCCACACUCCACUUUUUUCCCGAUUGUCUGAUACAUUAAUAGAUUUUUUAUUUAUUUUAUUUUUGCUUAGAAUAAGAAAAAGAGUUCAAACUGAAUUACAUUCCCCAUUUUUAUAUUUCUGGUGUUUUUUUUUCUAAUAAUAGUCAAGAUAAUGAGAAAUUUUUCAAUGUGCUCGGAGCACGGGAUGGUACACCACGUGUAUCUAUACAAGUUGUGAGAUUCUUGUGUAAAAAAUUAAUUACACAAAAAAUAAAAUUUUUCGCUACUUACAUAAUAACACGUGGUGUGCCACUUGUGUUAUGGGCACAAGGUAAAGUUUCUUCAAGAUGACACUCAAGCUCCAAAAAUUGGAUGGAGAGCUGCAUUUAUUUUUGUAGGUAUGUAAAAAAAUGUGAGGAAAUUUUAAUUUAGUAAUUGAAAACAACUUUUUAAAUAUAAUUAUCGAGAACAUAAUCUUCUCAAGGUUUUGAUCUAAUGGAUCACUUCUGGGUUCAUCGUUUUGGGCGCAAUGAGUGCUUUUACAGGACCAAAAAGAGUCUUAAGUUUCAAACCUUAUGAAACUGAACCAAGAAGUAAACACUAUUUAUAAAAGUUGACCAAUAAGUAGACACUAUUUAUGAAACUAAAUCAAUUAGCAUACACUAUAUAUGAAAUUGAACCAAUAAGUAUACACUAUUUAUGAACGAAAACAAGAAUUAGACAAUAUUUCUAAAACUAAACCAAUAGAUGAAAAUUAUUUAUGAAACUGGACUAUACAAUAUUUACGAAACUGGACUAAGAAUUAGACAAUAUUUAUGAAACAAGAUCAAGAACUAGGCAUUAUUUAUGAAAGUGGAUCAAUAACUAGGCACUAUUUAUGAAACUGGACCAAGAAAGAGACACUAUUUAUGAAAUUAUACUAAUUACUAUACAUUAUUUAUAAAACUGGACCCAAUAACUAGGCUUUAUUUAGUCCAAGCAUUUUUCAUGAAAGUUCCCAUUUCUUAAUGAAAUAAACUAAUAGAAUAAUUAAGUCCUUUUGGGACCGCUCUUGCGCGGUUUAGAAUCACUUCUGAAUAAAGCACCUCCCACUUUUAAACCUAGAAUCACCUCCCAAAUAGGCCCUAAGCAAUACAAGAUCCAAAAGCUUUAAAUAAUCAUUUAAGUUAAUCCACCUGCUAAUUAGGAAGAAAAAUAAUCAAUUUGUAAAGUACUCUAAUAACAGUGGUUGUGGAAAAUGGAAACGGCUCCCCUCCGGAUCCAUUAUGUGGGGAUCCUAGAAAGCCUCACAUCUCAGUCAUUCAUCGUGUAUCGUGAUGUCAGAAAUCAUUUGACUUUUAUUAUUUUAAAUUAAACAUAAAUAAUACCUGACGAAAAUUGACUGCACGAUAGACGAUGAACGGCUGAGAUGUGGGGAUCCCAGGAUCCCCACAUAAUGGAUCUGGAGGGGAUUGGAAAAUUAGUAUUUGGUCCUCCCUAGUUACUAAUGCUUAUUGAUUAAGACGUUAUUAGUUUUCAGAUUUUGAUUAAAGUCCCUACCAUUAAUGUAUUGAUGAAUUUAGAUGUCAGUUAUAUAAUUUUUUGAAAUAAAAUUAGUAAUUGUUUUAAGGUUUUAAUAUUCACACCCUUAUUACACUCCUAAUUAAUUUUCAAUUCAAAAUAUUUCCAAAAAAAAAAAAAAAAGAUUUAGUUUGCACCCAUUAAAUUUUUUUGUUUAGAAAUAUUUUCAAUUUUUAAUCUUAAAUGUAACCAUUCAUAUAACUUUUCAAUUUUUUAAUCCUAAAUGUAAACAAUACUUUUUUUUUAGUAUAACAUGUACCCAUUUCUUUUUAUAUAAGAUCCAUUCCAUUUUUUUCUAAUCUAUAUUUUAAACUUAUAUGGGUACAUUCUAUUUCGUUGAUCUAAGAAUGUAUCCCCGUCAAGGAAGAAAAUAUCGGUAAUAUCGGAAAUAUCGGUAGUCCGAAAACAUGGAAAUAUCGAUGGAAAUAUCGGGAUAAUAUCGAUAUCGAUAAAAAUUACAUGGAAACCACGGAAAUUGUAAGAAAAACUUGGAAAUUUUUAUUGAAACUUUGCAGGAUGUUUAUUUAGUCAAUUAUCUAUUAGUUUAUCACAAAAAAUUGGAAGGAAAUGCAUUGCAUGAUGGAUUUAACAUUAUCAAGUUGAUUAUAUAGCGAGCUGACAAACAUUGUGACUAUAGAAAAUAUGUAGAAAUUAAUGAAAGAAGUCUAAACACACCAUAAUCAUUAUAUAUAAUGAAUUAGUACAAUAUUUUACACUUUAUACAUUGCAUGGUAAGAUACAUGAGUGACUUAGUACCACAUAGAGUUCCUAUGAGGUUCAAAAUUUUCACUAUCUUCAUCAUCUCUAUGUGUAGAGUGAGUGUAUUUUGAAGAGUAGUUACCAACUAUGGCAAUGGUUUUCAAGAACCAAAACCCAAAAGUCAAUAGGAAACCGAAUACUUCAGUAUUUUUCGGGAUUACCAAACAAAUGGGAUUUGGAAACCAAUCCCAUAUCGAAAAUUUCGGUAUUUUUCGGGAUGGGAUUCCCGAACUUCAGGAUGGUUUUGGUUUAGGAUUUUUCGGUUUGGGUUUGGGACUUUUUCGGUUUGGUUUGGGAUUUUCCGGAAUUUUUUCCAGCCCUUGACCAAAUAAAAAAUAGAAAAAUUAAAAACCACUUGCCAUUGACUAAGUAAUUAAUUGACACAAUUUAAAAUAUAAUACCACAAAAAAUUUGGAAUAUGUGCAAAUUUGUUUCUUGUAAAAAUAAACCAUAUAUAUAAAUAUUGUAGCUUAUUAUCAUAACAACAUAAGUGGUACAGUGGUUAAGGCCUUAAGAAGUUAAGGGGGAGGGGUUCGAACCCCUUUAUACUCAAAACCGAGUCUUUUCCAAAUUUUAAGGAAUUUUUGGACUAAUAUCGCGACAUUUUAGCGAAUAUCGCGAUAUUAUAAAAAAUAUCGAGAAAUAUCGCGAUAUUAUCGAUAUUUGCGAUAAUAUCGCGAUAUUUUAACGAAAACUCAUUGGAUACUCCUUAAAAUAUCGGUAAGUAAAAAAAACGAAAAUUUCGCCGAUAUUUUCGAUAUUUAAAUCCAUGAUCCCCGUCAAGUUUAAUCAAAUAAAUUUAAUAAUGUUAUUAAGUCUUUUUUUGUGGUUUUGGAAAAUGUACCCAUGUUUUGGUACAAUAAUUUUUUUACUAUUAUUUACGAAUGUGUAUAUACACAAUAUAUUGGAGAGUAUAAUUUAUCCUUUAAUAUUUUUAAUUCCACUAAUUAUGGGUUUUAUUUAAAAUCUCAUAAAUAUAAACAACUAUAACUACAAAUUUCAAUUUUCAAUUUAAGAAUAUAAUAACUUACAUAUAAAUAUAUUAUUUCAUUAAUGUCAAAGACUUAGAUCAAAAGCUGAAAACCAACAAGAUUUCAGUUAAAGAGCAUUGAUAGUUAGGGAUCGCAUCCCAACUCUGCCCUUAAAAAAUUAUUAUUCUAAGCAAUGCGCAUCUAAAACUAUGAUAUCUCAUCUUAUCAAUCUUAGAUUUAAAUAGUGACUAGAGAUUACAAAGAGAGAUGAAAACAAGUUUAAUAACAAUUAAGGAUUUUGUUAUUGCAUGAUUCAGUGAGUUUCUUACUGAAUAACAUCGUAGAGGAGAAAUGAUCACUUGUAGGAAAAUGAUUCAAUGAGUUUGUUACUAGAUAACAUUUGAUUCAUUUUUUAUUUGCUCAAUAAAACGAUUAAAAAGAAAUUAGAGUGUGUAUAAGUAACAAAUUAAUGAGAGUUUGUAAAAUGUAAAAAGAAAUGAGAGUAUGUAAUGGGAUCAUUAACAACAUAAUCAAGAAUAAUCAUUAUGUUUAUCUCAUUGAAUCAGCAUUUUCUAUUUGUCAAAAAAUAGGACAAACAUAAUGAUGUCUAAAUUCAGAAGCUGGAAUACAACUAUGAUUCAUUGAGUUUCUUUUUGUCAGAAAAUGUAAGUUGAUGUCUAACUUCAGAGUUGUACAGCUAUAGAGUAUGCUAUUUAUUUCAUCUUAUACUCCAUAUUUGUGCUUAGAGAUAAGCAAAAUGAUGUAUGAGAAACUUCAUCAAGCAGCCCUUUUGUUUUAAUGGUUUUUCGGUUGAUGUUUUGUUUAAUGGUUGCUCUUUUGCGACUAAAUUGGUGGUUUCAUAUAUUAAGUUCAAUUGUUAGAAAGUAGAAUUUUUCUUCGGUUUGGACGUGAUUUUUUCCAUAUAUUUAAUUACUUACAGAACUUGAUCGUCUCUGUUUCAACUCUGUUUGCGUUAUGAAUAGCAACUCUUUCCAAGUUUAACAUGGAUUUAUUUUUAGAGUGGAAUUAUGUACAGAAAAUCUCUAAAGAUGCUGACAAUGGAGGGACAUUGAUUCAGAACACAGUGGUCAAGUCUUUACAAGCUAAUUCUGCAGGUAAUAGAAACUACACCUUUUCUCUCUGCUUGCAUGCUUUUUAACAUAGAGAGAAAUUGAAAUUGUACUUUAGAAUUAGCGUUCUUUUUUAUGAUCUACUGCCUGGUAAGGGUUCUUGAAAUUGUAUUUUAGAAUUAGUGUUUUUCUUGAUUCAAAACAAAAGGUCUAUAAUUUCCUUCCUACAUUCCAUGUAUUUACAUAGUAUUGCCUAUUGUAAAUAUAUUUACAAAUUUUACAUGUUUUAUACGGUUUUGAAACACUCAACAUAAGGGACCUCUGUUUCAUAUGUAUUUAUUUUUGCUUAAAUGUCAAAAUGGUCCCUGUAUUGUAGCCACAUGGCAAAUUUAGUCCCCAUGUUUUUGUUUUGGUUAAUUUAGUCAUCAUGUUUGUUUCUGUUAGUCAAUUAAGGAUAUUUCAUUCAAUCUCUUUUAAAAAAUUCAUAAGAAAAUUUAUAUGAGAUAUUAUUAUCAUUUCUCUUUACAAAAAAAUGCAAAUUAAUAAGAAAUAACACAUAUAAGAGAUAAAACUUCCAAUCUGAAAAAUGAUUAAGAUUGUGACAUAGAAAAGAGAGGGUAAUGUUAGGGAGGAGGUCGGGAAAUUGGAAGGAGAAUAAAUUUUCUUUUAAUUUCAUUUUUAAAUAUUUUAAAUCAAAUAAAUAAUUUUAUAAAUAAGUUUACAAUAAUUUAUAAAAAAUUUUACAGAAAUUAGAUGGAAAUGUCCUUAAUUGGCUAAUGAAGAUAAACACAAUGACCAAAUUGAUCAAAUUGAAAACACAUGAAUUAAAUUGACCCAAUAACUAAAACACAGAGACCAUUUUAACAUUGAAGCCUUUAUUUUUAGAACACUUCCAGCCCAGCCAAGUCCCCUGGGCGAUGAGCUCUGGAAUCCCCCUACCCAAAAAAAAAGAAAAAGAAAACGCAGCUCCAGCCCAUUCCAAUAACCUCGGCUCCCCUGGAGCCCCCACUUUUCCCCCAGGUCCGAAUUGACUGGCCCAGCCACCGGGUGGUAUGACAUCACUUUGAUGUUAGCCAUGAUUAGAAAAUUAUAAAAAAUACAAAAACUUAUAAAAAGUCAAUUAAAAAUAUAAAAAAGUUAUAAAUUUUUUUCUAUAAAUACCAUAUUUUUUCACUUUACAUCACAUUUCAAUAUUUUCAAAUACUUUUCAACCAAUUUUUUAUUGUCAUUCCAAAUUAAAAAUAAAAUUAUUUCUUAUUAAAAAAUAUUUUAAUACCAAUAACCUGGGCUAUUUGGUGGAGAUGUAAUGAGACAGUUACUGUUCACUAAAGACAGUUACUAACUUACCAUCCACUUUGGCGGAUUGGGUUGCCUAUAGCACAUGGAGACAUUUAGGGGUAGGGUUGCUCUAAAAAGUGGAGUUUUAAGGCAGCCGAUGAGAAAUGACUCCAAACGCAUCUACUUUUGUGUUAAAUAUAAUAAAGUCAGUCUUUGUUUAAUAUCAAUCCAAUAACUCUUGGUUUGAAUUAGUUUAUUUGUAGCGAAAACGAACCAUAGUUUUCGUUACAUUGAUAUUGCUAGCUAAUUUGUGAUUAUCUCCCCCAGCAAAACUCAAUUCCAUUUGCAAAGAAGAGAUCGAUCAUGGCUGUGGAGGUGGUAGGCGGAGCAUUUUUCUCCGCUUUCUUUCAACAAGUAUUUCAAAAGAUGGAUUCUCAGGAGGUCAAGAACUUCAUCAGAGGAAAGAAACUGACUGAUGGGUUGCUGAAGAAGUUGAGGAUCGAGUUGUUAUCUGUCAAUGCUGUUUAUGAUGAUGCCGAGCAAAAGCAAUUAAGUAACCCAGUUGUGAAGCAGUGGCUGCAUGAGCUUAAAGAGGCAGUCUUUCAUGCUGAGGACCUUCUGGACGAGAUCAAGACAGAAGCGUUAAAGCGGAAAAUGGAAGCUGAAUUUGGAAGUAGCAUAAGCAAGGUACAAGACCUCAUCUCUGCUUCUUUCCAUGCUUUUGAUGAGUCUAUAGACAACAAGAUAAAGGAAAUUAUUGAGACGCUAAGCUUCAUUUCACAACAGAAAGAUGCCUUCGGUUUGAAAGAACGUUGUAGUCACAGAAUCUCACAAACAUUGCCUUCAACUUCUUUAGUAGAAGGCUCUGAUGUAUAUGGAAGAGAUCAUGAGAAGGAAACCAUCAUUCAAUUGUUGCUAUCAGAUGAUGUUACUUGUAAUAAGAUUGGCGUCAUUCCCAUCGUGGGCAUGGGUGGGAUCGGAAAGACCACCCUUGCCCAGCUCUUAUACAAUGAUGAUAAAGUGAAGCAGCAUUUUGUGCUCCAGGCAUGGGUUUGUGUUUCUGAUGAAUUUGGCGUUGUUAAGAUCACACAAACAAUUUAUGCAUCAGUCACUUCACAAACCUGUGAUACCACAGACCUAGACCAGCUUCAAGUCAAACUCAAAGAUGCUUUGAAGGGGAAGAAGUUUCUUUUUGUUCUUGAUGAUGUUUGGAAUGAGAAUUACAAUAUUUGGGAUUCCUUAAGGCGCCCCUUCGAGUCUGGAGCUCAUGGAAGUAAGAUCAUUGUCACCGCAAGGAAUGAUGGCGUUGCAACUACGAUGGGUACUUUGCAAACCCACUAUUUAAAGAACUUACUUGAGGAAGACUGUUGGUUUUUAUUUGCAAAACAUGCCUCCAAAGAUGCAAGUGGUGUUGUAGAUCCAAAUCUUGAGGUAAUUGGAAGACAAAUUGUUAGCAAGUGUAAAGGCCUUCCUUUAGCUGCAAAAUCUCUCGGUGGUCUCUUACGCUCUGAAUCAAAAGUGGAGGAGUGGGAAAAUGUGCUAAAAAGUGACAUAUGGGAGUUGUCAUAUGCAAAGAUUGACAUUCUGCCGGCUCUAUGGCUAAGCUACCAGUACUUGUCUCCGGAGCUGAAGCGUUGUUUUGCUUAUUGUUCCAUAUUUCCCAAAGACUAUAAAUUUAACAAAUCUGAAUUAAUUUUGUUGUGGAUGGCCGAAGAUCUUUUACAACCCCAAAAGAAGACUAUGUUGGAAGAUGUUGGAAAGAAAUACUUUGAUGAUCUGAUCUCACGGUCAUUUUUUCAAUACUCAUCUUCAAAUGAUUGUUUCAUCAUGCAUGAUCUGAUGCAUGAUUUGGCGACUUACGUAUCUGGAGAAUUUUGCAUUAGAUUGGAAGACCACAACUUCUCAUUGGACGUUGUGAGCAAGGGGUCGUCAUUUUUUUUCUUAUUUGCAAUAUUCAUCUAAUGUUGAUUAUAAGAGAUUUGGCACUAUUUAUGAAGCUAAGUAUCUGCGCACCUUCAUUCUUGGCGAUCUCUAUUUGCCGACAGUACGACUUGAUCUCCUUUUAAUGCUACAGUGUUUAAGAGUCAGUUUCAAAACUACGUGUGCAUGAUAUCACGGAGUUGCCUGAUUUGAUUAGCAACUUGAAGCAUCUACGGUACCGAUCAUUGUACCAACUUGUGUGACCGGACACGUGUAACACUCCAAUCCCAGAAAUUACACGAACACGGUAUGCAGGUUUGUUUGUAUAAUUUACAAACAUUGUUGUUGUUGUCAAAAUUGUACAUGUCUAGCUGAGUUGCCCACCGAUUUGAGAAGACUUAUCAACUUGCGCCAUCUUGCUUGAUUUCAGAGGUACGAAAAUAAAAAAGAUGCCCCCCCACAUGGGCAAGUGGGCAAGUUGAAAGAUCUCCAAACAUUCGGAGGUGAGUUUGUCUUGCUUGAGCAAAGAUGCUGGGGGAUACAUUGAUGAGUUAAAGGGGUUUCAGCAUUUGAGUGGAAAUCUUCAUAUUUCAGGGCUUCAAAAUAUCAAACAUGCUGAGGAUGCUUUGGAGGCCAAACUGAGGGACAAGAAGCUCAGUGAAAUACAUUUGAAAUGGGAAGGUGACACUGCUGAUUCUCAAAACGAUAGCCGAGUGCUGGGCAACCUGCAGCCCAAUACAAACCUAAAGGUACUGGCUAUAAAGGGAUACGGAGGUAUAAAGUUUCCAGGUUGGUUAGGAGAUGAGUCUUUCUCUAAUCUCAUCACUCUCCGACUUGAGAAUUGUGGAUAUUGUUUCUCCCUGCCAGCAUUGGGGCGGCUAACGUCCCUCAAAAGGCUUGAAAUUGAUGGGUUGAAUGGAGUGGAAUUAGUGGGGUCUGAGUUUUAUGGGCCUGCAUUUAAAUCUCUGGAGUUUCUGAGUUUCCGCAGUAUGCGGGAAUGGCAAGAGUGGUGUUUCCCUGGAGGUGAAGAAGAAGAAGGCGGACAUUUUCCUAAUCUUUGCGAGCUUAGUCUGGAGAACUGUCCCAAACUAACGGGGAAAUUACCGUUAUACUACUUCCCAAGACUUGAGCGGCUAAUUUUGCAGAAAGUUAAUAUCGAAUCCCUUGCUUGUUCGCAAGAAUGCAAUAAAUUCAAUAUUGAACUCCCAUCCCUCCGUGACUUGGGAAUAUCAGAUUGCCCGAAUCUGGUAUGUUUUGUGGGUGGUGGAGUGCUGCUUGCGCCCAACUUGAAGAGGAUAUCUAUGUGCCGUUUUAAAAACUUGUGGUCAGUGCCAGAGGAGAUGCACGCCUCUCUCCCGUCUCUUCAGUCUCUGUCCAUGGAAGAGUGUGAAGAAUUUAAAUCAUUUCCUGAAGAAUCUAAAUUCCCAUCCCUCUAUUAUUUGAAGAUAAAGGAGUGCCCAGAAUUUGUGGGUUUCCCCCAUGGAGGACUGCAAGCGCCCAACUUGAAGAUGAUGAAAAUCUAUGAAUGUAACAAAUUCGGGUCAGUGCCAGAGGAGAUGCACGCCUCUCUCCCGUCUCUUCAGUCUCUGUUCAUAGAAGGGUGUAAAGAAUUUAAAUCAUUUCUGGAAGAAUCUAAAUUCCCAUCGCUUGAUGAUUUGAGGAUAUACAAAUGCCCAGAAUUUGUGGGUUUCCUCUAUGGAGGAGGACUGCAAGCGCCCAACUUGAAGAGGAUGGAAAUCAAAGAAUGCAAUGAAUUCAGGUCACUGCCAGAGGAGAUGCACGCCUCUCUCCCGUCUCUUCAGUCUCUGUCCAUACUAGGGAGUAAAGAAUUUAAAUCAUUUCCGGAAGAAUCUAAAUUCCCAUCCCUCAAUAAUUUGUAUAUAAUGAAUUGCCCAGAAUUCAGGUCACUACCAGAGGAGAUGCACGCCUCUCUCCCAUCUCUUCAGUCUCUGUCCAUAGAAGGGUGUAAAGAAUUUAAAUUCCCAUCCCUUAAUCAUUUGUGUAUAAUGAAUUGCCCAGAAUUCAGGUCACUGCCAGAGGAGAUGCACGCCUGUCUGUCUCCCUUCUCUUCAGUCUCUGUACAUACAAGGGAGUAAAGAAUUUAAAUCAUUUCCGGAAGAAUCUAAAUUCCCAUCUCUCUCGUAUUUGAAUAUAUGGUAUUGUCCAGAAUUGGAAUCAUUUCCGGAAGGGGGAUUGCCGUCCAAAUUGCUUUCACUCAGAAUCGGGAGUUGUAAAAAACUGAUGGCAAACCGUAUGCGGUGGGGUCUACAAACACUCACCUCUCUCGAAAGAUUGGAUGUCAGCUUCUCAGAAUGUGAAGAAGAAGAAAUUGGCGAAUCAUUUCCAGAAGAGGGGCAGCUGCCAACCACUCUCACUUCUCUCGGAAUCUUCCAGCAUCCGAAUCUGAAAACAAUUGACGGCAAGGCGUUAAGACACCUCAUCUCUCUCAAGGAGUUGAACAUUUUUUUUUGUCCUCGACUCCAGAGCUUGCCAGAUGAAGGGCUACCCACUUCUCUUUCUGGUCUAGAAAUCCGCGAGUGUGAUUUGCUAACACAACGGUGCCGGAGAGACACGGGAGAAGAUUGGGCCAAGAUUUCUCACAUCCCCAAGGUAGUGAUUGAUAACCGAAAGAUAUGAUUUGCAAUGGUACGUAAUUCAUCAACGUGUGUUUAUGUGUUUAUUUACGAUAUGGCUGUGUAAAUUUUAAAUCAUAAACAUGUUUCAAAUGUUAAUGUUCACAUAAUAACAAAUUUUACAGGUACUCUUGUCCCAUAUAAACUUGAAAGUAUUUGCGAUAGAAAGAUACGGAGCUACAAAAAUUCCAAAUCGGUUAGGAGAUGACUUGUUCGUUCUCUCAUCUUGUUACUCUUCGACUUGUGGAUUGUGAACAUUGUUUUUCAAUGCCAGCAUUGGCACAGCUACCAUCUCUCAGAAGGCUUGACACUGAUGGGUUAAAUGGAGUGGAAUUGUUCCUCUUUUCUUAUUGUGUCUUACGGUGGUUCUAUUAUACGACAGUUUGUUGUAUCGAACUAGUCUUCGGUGAAAAAGGAGCUUCAACAAGUCUAUGAGCUCUAGUUUUCGAAUUUCCUUUUUCAAGUUUGUUUCCAAAUUAUGUCUAUUGAGAGGUAGAUUUUGGUACUUUGUAGAAUUCGAAUUCAAAUGUUUGGUUUGUAAAAUAUGGAUGAUGAUUUCAUUUCUGUGGAACUGUGAAUCUAUGAUCAUGCUUGAAUGUUGUCAGACCAUUAUCUAUUCUAAAAUUGAGGAGGGAUUUGACUGUAGCUUAGCUACAGUCAAAUGAUUGACCCUCGAUUUUGCUUUAUUUACAUCACUACCAUUAUAUCUCUGGCUGGGUUGGAAGGGUAAUUAUUACAACUUAGAAGGGUAAUUUUGUCCGUGGGUUUGAACCGAAUUUCACUUUUAUUUACAAAAUUGCCACCGCCUUUUCCUUCCCUCUUUCUCUCUCCCGACUCUCUCUCGGUAACCAUCCAUCAAAUCCCCAUCCUUCCCUUUUCUCACUCUGUAAGUCUCAUUUCCUACAACCCUAGAGCACCGUUUCUCUCUCAUUUCUCUCAAAUUUGACUCAGGGAGAGAGAGGGAAGGGGGACAGAAGGGUUGACAGGUUGGAGGGAGAGGAUCGUCGGGAUUAGGGGAGAGGAUUUUCGGCAGGGAGGUAUGGGUUUAGGGAGAGAGAGAGUAAGGGAGAAGUAUGGGGUAGGCGGAUUUCCAGGGAUUUCUUUUCACCCCUUCACUCACCACGAACCCACCUUUCCCUUCUUUUCUUCCGUCCUCAAAUCUUCUGAUUUCCCUCUCACAAAAUACCCACCAAGGAAACCCUACUUUUGGUUUAUUUUGGGAUUUUGUUUGCGCUCUCGAUUUUCAGACGACGGGCCAAUUGGUUGAUAUUUGGAUUUCUUCUCCUUUUGUCGAAACGCACAAAUUUUGUUUCGGUGGGAUUGGUCUCGAAUAGCUGCGUGUGUCUACCUUUCCAAGGUAUGGUGUUCACCGAUGGCAUGUUUUAGUGUGUUUCUGUUUUUUUUUUCUUUGUUUUGUAUUUCUAAUUUAUCGUUUGCUGCUUGACAAUGGUGAUUGUAUGUUUUAGUUUGGAUGUUUUUCUGAUUUUGGUUUGGUCAGUUUUUUUGGGCUGCUUGAGAAAAUGUGAUCCCAUGUUUUGACUGAGUGAAAUAAUUAAUAGAUAAAAAGAGUGGAGAAUUAGUGUCAAGAGUAGUGAUGGAAAAAAUGAGGAAAAAAAUAUAGAUGUGGAAGAAAAAGGGGGGGGGGCUGGAAAUCGAGCAAGGUGAAGAGAAAAAAAAUAGGGGUUAAGUGAGCAGCCAAAAGAGAAAAAAAAUGAGGGGAAAAGGCUUAAUUUGGGGAGUGGGCAAAAGAGAAAAGCAAGGGAAGGGAGACAGAACAGGAACAAGGUGUGGUUUUGUUGUUGGUUUUAUCCAAAUUUUUGAUUUGGCAUUGGUUUGAAGCUUAUGUGUUAUUAGUAUAGUCUAAUUUAGUGUUGGUUUAUCUAGGUUUGUAGCUAAUUUAAUGUUAAUGUUGAUCUAGGCGUUUUAAUUUGUUGUGAACUUAUAUGAGUUUCGUUUUUUAAUUGUUAUUUUACAGUUGCUAGGGAUGACUUUGGCUUUUAUAUUGGUUUGGGUAUUUUUUUUUUUCAUUUGAAGAUUUAGUGUCAUUAUACACCUUUGCACCACUGUUUGUUCUGUUUUUCUCGGUUUCUGUAUAUAGUUUUGGUACAAUUGGACUGUUCUUUUUAACUUAAUUAAAGUUUUUGAGACUUAAUUGAAUGAAAGUUUAGUGUGUGUUUUGGACUAAUGGUUUUGUGUUGUUAUGUGGGUUUGUGAAGAUGGAUGGAUGUGUGGCUCGGUUGCAGGAGCUGCAGUACACAGUUUCGGGCGGUACGAAGGUGAUCUCAGGAGUGAGUCUCAGCCCUGGGAGUUCUAGAGGUUAUCUCAGGGCUAGCCUCCGAUGCAAACAAGAAACUGCAAGGUAAUUGAGAAUCUGAUUUUAAUUUGAUUUGUACAAACCAGGAACAAAAAAUCCCAGCUUUUGCUUGAAUUUGAAGUUUUUGAUUUUGAUAUUGGAACUGAAAUGGGUCUUUUGAUUUAUGCAGGAUUAAAGGCUCAGCCCCUAGAAAAUCUCCUGUUGGCAAGUUUCCAGCAAAGGCAGGAGGUAUCUCCCUCUCUCUCUCUCUCUCCCUAAAAUCAUAGACGUAUGGCCAAAUGUGUUUUUUGACAAGAAAGUUUAUCCUUCACUUUUUUUCAAAGAACAAAAUUGAGUUUAGAUUCAAAAUCUGAACCUUUUGUUUUUGAAAAUACGACAUUCUAAACAACAGAAGCUCAUUACUUUUUGUUUUUUAAUAAAGCCAUUACCAGUUUCUGAAUUGAUUCUACAUUUUACUCUGUUUUUAUGCCUAAUACCGUUUGUUUUCCAUUGGGUAGCUGUAUAAGUUUUCCAUAAGCUUCGAUCAUCUCCCCAAUAAACCCAGAGCCUCCUUCUCUCCCGCUAAGCAAAAGAAAAUCAAGGAGGCCUGCAACUUCGUUUGCAGUCCGCCACUGCAAAUCAGUCUGGAAACUGGAUUCAAAGGUAAAACACACCGAUGUCUUUGAUUUUGGUCUCUACUGCACAGUUUGACAGACAAAUGAUAAACCUAACACAUGCAUGCUUUGAUUUCCUUGGUAGGUCAUAUUUUUCACUUUCUGGAUGUGCAAAGUCUGGAUAGUACACAUCACCGGACCAAACCUUUAUCAGGUAAGGAAUUCCAUCGCGUUUGUUGAAAAUAUUUGCUUCCUUUCCUCUCAUGUAUGUGUAUGUAUGAUUGUAUGUGUGUGAUUUUAGAUUGUAAUGCAUCACAAAUUUGUGGCAUAAAAAUUGACAUUUGUAGACUUACCCUUUGUUUGGUGACUGUGAUAAUUGAGAGAAAGGAAAAUAAAAUUUCGAAGAUUGAUGCUUUUAUGUGAUUUCUUGGCUCUUUUUUUCAUAUGAUUUUCAUUGUAUGUGUGCCAGUGUAUGUCUCUUCUUGAAAAAUACAUGUUGAAAAUGGGAGAAAAUUUUGGACAUGACACGUUUAGAAGUGAGGUUUUUCUGAAUGAAGACACUUUUAUGAUUUGUUUGUAAUUUGUUUUGCAAAUGGGUAGGAAUGUCAUUCUAAAAGGAUAUUGGCAGGAGAGGGUGGAAUGUCAUUCUAAAAUAUGUGUAAUUCAAUUCUCUCAUUUUCUAUAGCAGAAUUGCGGAUUUCUAAAUCGAAAAGGAGAAAUAAACACUACAGCAGUUUAUGCAGAAGGAGCAUGUAAAAGAGAAGCACAGGUAAAGGUUUAUGAGGUCAGUUUGCUGUUUUCUUUUUAGUGUUUUCAAUUUGUUCCUUUUAGUCUGGCUGCAAUUUUUUAAUCUCUGGUUAUGCAUCAAUUUCUCUGCUUCUUUGUAAAUCUUGCAGGUGAGGACAACACACUUAUCGGGGCAAUGUCGGGAUGUUUAGGCUUGGGUGGAGACAUGGACUUAUGGAAGAGGUGAAGUAGCUUAGGUUUCUGUCAUUAGCUUUAUCUGUUCUAUGCAUCUCUGCAAUCUUACAAUGCUCCUUUAUUUAAUUGCAAGAUGUUGGGGACCGGUUACUGGAAUACAAGAUUUGGAACAAAAGUGGUUGACAAUGCAAGAGUCGAAAGCAAGUGUGAAAUUCACAUUGAAAAUGACAGGUGAGAAUGCUAAUCAUAUUCUAAAAAAAUGUUGGGUUUCCUGAUGAGUUCUCUAGCUGAAUUCAAGAGGCUAAAUUAGUGAUUUGGAGUUAAUUUUGUAAAUUUAUUGAAUAAAGUUAUUUGUUAUUUAGCUUAUCUUGCGUUUGGUUUGGUUUUAGGAGAGGGUUACGCAUGAUCCGUAGCUUCAUUCAACCUCGCUGUUUUCGUUAGAAUCACAAUUAAAGGUCAGUUUUUCCAACAUUUUUUUUGCUUUUUGCUGCAUGUUUGUGCAUGUUUGGUCUCUGAGAUUUUGUUUUUAGUCACUGUUGAUUUGUAGUUUAUGUCUUCCUUUAGCUACAUAUUGACACAUGUUUAUUCUCAGCAUUUUUUUGUUAUGGUAAGUGGUUUGGGGAGUUCUGUAUUAUUAUAUAAUCUUUGGGGCUAUUUUAAGUAAAAAUGAAAUGUUGACAUUGAUAUAGCAUACGGCACACUUAAUUCACACUCCUAUAUUCGGUUUUCAUGUUUCCAUUGCAACACUCUGCAUUUCCGAGCCAAUGAAUUUUUUGAUAAAGAUGUACUUAAAGCAAUUACAUGCUCUAUCAAGUAUGUUUUAUAUGUGGUUGUGGUAGUUGCAAGGAAAUGAAAUAUUUGUGCUGAUAAUUGGUAGUUUAAAUAUAUAGAAAUAGAGAAGAAUUAUAAAUGGAGCACCUAGGAUAUUUAACAUUGUUUUCUUUUCCAUGUAUUUUUUCUCAUGUUUAAUAUCUGCUUUUGCUUAUGCAUAUGAUUCAAGUGCUAUUUUUAUUAGUGUUAAUUUUGGGUUGCAUAUCAACAAACUAACCCAGUUAAUUUUGCUUAGUGUUCAUGUAUAACGAGAACUCUCAUUGCAUCAACUUGAACAAACAUUCUUCUACUUAGUUGCUUAGCUGCUGCAACAAGAACGAAACACUUUUUAUGUGUUUUUGUUUAACUGCUAAAACAGGUGAUUGGCCUCCAGGACAUAUAUUUUGCCAUCUUAACUUUAAAGGCAAUACAUAUGUAAAAUGCAUGUUGCUUAGGGAAACAGAGCAUUUUUUGCAACCACAUCUUUUGUAAUCAGCUUAGUUGAAUGUAUAUAAAAGUUAAGCUACUUAUCUUACCUACACCGAUCACUCAUCUAUCAUUUUUGUUCGUUCAUGAUUAUGUUGAAUUUUUUUUCAGGUUAAAUGUGUCUUAUUCAUGUAGUUAAGGAUGGUGCAUUCAAGUCCCGCAGCAACGCGCGGGCAUUUUUCUAGUAGUAUCGAAAACCCUCUGUUGUUUACCAAUCGAUCUCAAGCGGUCUAGAUUCGAUUUGUUUAAUUAGUACUGCAAGAUGAUCUUAUCUACUAAUCAUGUCUUAUCAAAUGAUUACCAUUUCAUCAUGCCCUUAGGGAUGCAUAGAGCUUCAAAAGUUUUCAAGUUGCUGCGCAUGUGUAGGUUUGAAGUCGUGCAAUGAUAUGUACGCGAAACUUAUGAGCAAACAAAAGCAAACAACUCUUAUACAUAAAUGUCGGCUGCCAGAAAAUCUCAGUAGUACCAGAGAAGAUAAGCUUGUAAUAAAUUUCUAAUUCUCAAAACAGAGCAAACAAGAGAAACAAGAUCUACAUAUAAGUACCCCUAGUUGGCCGGCACACAGGAUUUCUUUUACGAGCAUGUUCUUCAUUAUGGUGCUGUGUCCGACAUGCAUAUCCAUACCAGCAAUUUUCCCUGUUUGAUGCCUCUGUGGGUAGAUGAUAUUUGGGAAUCGAAAUCCGAAACCAGUACAAGAGGAAGGAGAUCAGCUUCUCAUAACAGUAAUUGCACGUAGGUGUCCCAGAAGUUAUUGCCUCAGCAUGAUUCAGGGGCAUCCUCGUUCGAUCAAUUUCUCUGUUGUUCAACUUUGCAAGCCAUUCUGCAAUAACAUCCUGUGAUGUUCUCCCCAACUGUACAGUACACUUCUCAGUGAUCACUUGUUCAUGUCGAUUGUUUUCAUGAGUUGAAGUAGGGAUUCCAGAGAUGGUCCAUUCUGAGAUUGGUUUAAAAGUCUCGCGACUGCACACAUGGUGAGAAUCACUUUGUGAAACCCCUUGCGCAUGCCAAUAUAAACUGCAAAAUGCCUUAUCACAUCCUAAACAGUGUUGAGGUACACUUAUUGGUGCACGAAGGCAUCAUUCCUCCGCAUGCUUGACAUUGCAGAUGGAUAGUGGUUUGAUUGCAGCGGAACGCACCAUAUUCAGUACCACAUUGAGGGCAUGGAUUUGAUGGAUUAUGAGCUUCUUCAUCCACCUGGGAGCGAGCCCUUUUUCUGCGAAGAUGUUUUCCAGAGUUUACGACAAUAUUAGAUUGUAUUGUUGCAUAAGAGUCUAAAAUUGCCACUUCAUCAUUGGUGCGUUUUAGUGAAUAGAAGAGAACAAGAUCUCUGAGCAAACUACAAUCUCAUAUGAAAUAAUUUCAACAUCCGGAUAUCUCAAGUCUGAUGGAACGAGCUUGGCCCAGAAUUCUUCACAGGGUUUUGCACCCGAGCUCUCUCCAACUUCUGCCAUCCCUUGAAUAUAUUCACAAAGGACCCAGAAACCAUUAAUUUAGAUCUCAAAGAUAAGUAACCGGCCAUUGUUAUGUUCAUUUAAAAAGAAACAAGUACUUAUAUAUUCAACUAUUUAUGAGCAACAGAGCAAUUUUAAUUUCUAAUUAUCGAACAAAAUCUUUACCGCUAAUUAGAUAAUUCAUCCAAGUACGAAAAGAAAACAGAUUUGCACUCAAACAAGACAGAUUCAUGAAAUAUGCUAUGGUAACGCCCCUAACAUUUCAACACCGAUAAACAUAUCAACUUCAUGUUUCAGACAUCCUACAACUACAUAUAUUAGAUCGUAACAAUUCCAACUAAAUGUAAAAGCUCUUAAAGACCUAGUUUGGGAGUGAGGUGCUUAAAAAAAAAACACCUAUGAAAAAAAGCUGUGAGGGUUUUAGGUGUUUGGUAAACUGAAAAAAAAGGGCUUAUUUUGGAAGCUGCUGUGAGAAUAAGCUGAAAUCAAAGGAAAAAGCUGAAGUUGCUAUUUGCAGCUUUGGAAAACUGGCUUUUUUUCAAAGCACACGGAGCUACAAUGCUCCUUUAAUGAAAAGACCCACUAUCAGACUGAUUUUCUUUCCAAAAGCACUUUUACAAAAAAGUUUACCAAACGCUCUGUUGAUUUAUUUCACAGCCGCUUAUUCUCACAGCACAGCCGCUUAUUCUCACAGCAGUUUUUUUUCAAAGCACAGCAAUACCAAACCACUCAAAGCAUAACGACAUACUAGCAAAAUUCAUGGAAGAUAGUAAGUGCCAAUUAACAAGAGAGUCAAAAAGGCUUGAGGAGAAGGGGUCCCCAGCAGCGGCAUCAUUUCUGGCCGGAAAAGGUUCAUUCUAGUAAUAUAAUUUAUACCACAGAACACAUACAAACAGAUUUAAGGAGACACAAUUGUCAUUCUAAAAGAGACACUUUCUCAAUUCUUGAAUUAAAACCUGGACUCCAAGAUUGCAAAACCACAGAAUGUGGUCCCCUUUACAAAAAUGUAUAUCAUGUUUACUCUAUGUUCAUAGUUUGAACCUUCGUUUAUGCAAUCUCGCUCUUGUUUUUGUUCUCUUGUAUGACCUAAUUUUCACACAAUUCUCACCGGAAAACCAAUAGAAAUAUUUAUGAAAAUUGAUAGGUCUCACUUGGAAAUUGUUUCAAAAACCCUAACAACAAAAAUGAAAAGUUUGCAACUUUGGCCAAUAAACAAUCAAACGUGAAAAGAAUUUGAAACUUAUCUAUUUCUAAACACGUUUAUAACAUCUUAAGAGACGCGCAAUGUUGGUGAUAAAAAAGAUCAUUCACAUGCGGAUAAUAAUGUGAUUAAAUUAAUUGUCAAAUGACUGUUUUUUUUAAACGAUAUUAUCGAUACUAAGGGGGAGAGGUGUGUUUAGCCUCACAAUGGGCUAGCAACAAUGUGAUUCAAUCAGUUGUUUAUUAAAUAUUAUUUUAUCUAUUUUAAACACGUUCAAAAUAUCUUAAGAGGCAUGUAAUGCUGGUUAUAAAAAAAGUAUUUCGCACGAGGAUAAUAAUGUGAUUAAAUUAGUUGUUAAAUGAUUUUUUUUAACAAACGAUAUUAUUUACACUAAUGGAGAGGGGUGGGCUUAGUCUCACAAUGAGCUAGCAAUAAUGUGAUUCAAUCAAUUAUUUAUUAAAUAUUAUUUUCUCUAUUCUUAAUGUAAAUUCUAUAGAGACCGAUUUUAUUAUGUGAAUUCAGCUGGUUUAAUUGGUUUAUGAAGGGUUUCUUCUAGCAUGAUCUAAGAUUAUUCAUUUACUUCAAAUAUUUAACUUUCAUUUUGUCAAUUUACACACAAUAUAUACAUUUAAAAAACGUGUAAGUCGUGUAUAGCACGUCGUGAUUCAAAAAAUAUCCUCUGCACGUGCGUAAGCAUAUGCACGGAGGCUAGUAUAUACUAAAGUGGAAUGAGAAAAACAUUGUUCAUAAGAAACAAUGUUUUGACGUUUUUGCCCUCAUUUUUAGUGUUUCUGUGUUCCUAGUUUUUGUGCUGUUGAAAUCCCCACAUUACCAUAUAGGCAUACGUGUGUACGGAAAAAUGUUUUUCACGCGUGGCAUAAGGAAAUUUUCUCUGCAGCACCGUGUUAUUCCCCUGGGAGUCUGCAGCACCGCUCAACCAAAUUUUCUCUCAUUCCGUACUUCUCCACCUCUUCAAUCGUGCUGCACCGUGAAUCGAAACAAAAAACUGCUCUUCCAAAUCAAUUUCAGUUAACUCAAAUCCCUAAAACCCAAAUUUCUCCAGACCAUUGGAAUCAGUUUGCCUUUGUUGUUGCUAAUCUACAGGUAAAGCUUAAAUUUACAUACAAUUUUUAAUUUUUCUUGAUUGGAAUUUGGAAAGAAUUACAGAAAAUUGGCGAUGUCCACCGAGUCGGAUGCGUGGUGGAGACUCGGAUGCUCGCUUCCCUGACGUCACUACGCAUCGAUAAACGCACAUCAUUUCCGACUACGUCACUUCUUUCUCUCGCCUCCUUUUCAUGGUUAGCUCCUCCUCCGUAUUUACUCAACGCCUAAUUUUGGCCUUUUUUUCUUCCUUCACUGAUUUGUUCUAGAGAUCGCAGAUUGUUGAGUCAGAGAAGAGGUACAUUUCCAUUUGGGGUUUUUUCCCAAUUGAUUGAUGCUGUAUUAAUUUGGAAUUUGCCCAAUUGGGGUUUGAGAUUUUUGGUUUAUAUGGUUGUUUUGAACUUUUGAGAAAACCCUUAUUUGUUUUAUUUUUUAAGAAAAUUAAUGAAAAUGAUUUGAAAUCUUUGAAUUUUAGAAUAAGAACAAAAUAAAGGGUAAAGGGAACAAUAGCAAGAUUGACUUUUUAGUGUAAAAAUGUAAUUUUUCGUUAAAGUGAACAAUAUCGAGUAUUUUUUGUUCUUUAAGAGGGGAAUAAUGAUAUGAUCUGUAAUUAGUGAUUAGCUUAAUCACUUAUUCUUGGGAUUAUUAGGCUUAUUCAUGUUUUAGUGGAGUUUGUUAUAACUGCUAGCUGGCAUGAGGAGUCAUGACUGGUAUAAGAGCACUAGUUCUGAGUAUUGUAAUCAGAUCAGAAUUUACAACAAAGAAAAUAAAUACAAAAAUAUUUGGAGCUCUGCUCCUUCAUCUCUCCUUCCCUCUUCUUCCAUAGCUUUCUUGUGCUACUUGCAGGUUGAUUAAGGGAAUUGAGAAUUGGGUCUUAUCAUAGUGGAUCUUGACGAGCGGGCGGGCGGGCGGGCGAGCGAGCCAAGACUUAGUGGUUUAAGCUGGAGAGGUUUAUUUGGAAGAACCAAAGCCGUUUGAGCCGAUGCUGUAGCAGAUUGAACCGGUUCUACGCAGACCUCGCCAAAUCUCAGCCAUCAGAUUGCUGUCCGGACGAUCGCACACUUUGUCCGCAACUUAGACACGCCCUUGCAGUUAUAGCACCAAGGUGGGCCUGGGAGCAAACGGCUGAGAAGAAUUGAACAGAAAUUGGGCCAAACAGGAGCAAAGCGCUGCGCCAGUUGCUGUGGAAGGGAAUGUUGCUGAUGAUGCUGGACUGGGCCCGCAUAAUUCAAGGGCUGCGCUAGAUGCUCAAGCUGCUCGGCAGAGGGAUGCCAGGUUCCACGACCAACACCGCGUGAAUUAUUGUUAAAAUUUCCAUUUGCAAAGAAAAGAUUGAUCAUGGCGUUGAAGAUUUUUGCUUCUGCAGAUCCUCCUGGGUCUUUGAUUAGUUGUUAUACAUUCUCUUAACUCUGUCACAAAAUUUCCAUUUGCAAAGAAAAGAUUGAUCAUGGCGUUGACGGUGGUAGGUGGGGCCGCUCUCUCGGGUUUCUUCCAGCAAGUAUUUGUGAAGUUGGAUUCUCAGGAGGUCAGGAACUUCAUCAGAGGAAAGAAACUGACUGAUGGGUUGCUCAAGAAGUUGAGGAUCAAGUUGAUGUCUGUCAGUGCUGUUUAUGAUGAUGCCGAGCAAAAGCAAUUACGUAACCCACAUGUGAGGCUGUGGCUGCACGAGCUUAAAGAGGCCGUCCUUGAUGCUGAGGACCUACUGGACGAGAUCAAGACAGAAGCGUUGAGGCGGAAAAUUGAAGCUGAAUUUGGAAGUAGCACAAGCAAGGUACAAGACCUCAUCUCUGCUUCUUUCCAUGCUUUUGAUGAGUCUGUAGACACCAAGAUAGAGGAAAUUCUUGAGAGGCUAAGCUUCAUUGUAGAACAAAGAGAUGCCCUUGAUUUGAAAAGAGGUAGUAGACACAAAAUCUCACAAACAUUGCUUUCAACUUCUUUAGUAGAAGGCUCUGAUGUGUAUGGAAGAGAUCGUGAGAAGGAAACCAUCAUUCAACUAUUGUUAUCAAAUGAUGUCACUUGUAGUAAGAUUGGCAUUAUUCCCAUUGUGGGCAUGGGUGGGAUCGGAAAGACCACCCUUGCUCAGCUCUUAUACAAUGAUGAUAGAGUGCAGCAGCAUUUUGAGCUCCAGGCAUGGGUUUGUGUUUCUGAUGAAUUUGACGUUGUUAAGAUCACACAAACAAUUUAUGCAUCAGUCACUUCACGAACCUGUGAUGACCUAAACCAGCUUCAGGUCAAACUCAAAGAUGCUUUGGCGGGGAAGAAGUUUCUUUUUGUUCUUGAUGACGUUUGGAAUGAGAAUUACAAUAUUUGGGAAUCCUUAAGGCGCCCCUUCGAGUCUGGAGCUCAUGGAAGUAAGAUCAUUGUCACCGCAAGGAAUGGUGGUGUUGCAUCUACGAUGGGUACUCUUCAAACCCACUAUUUAAAGCACUUACUUGAGGAAGACUGUUGGUCUUUAUUUGCAAACCAUGCCUUCAAAGAUGCAAGUGUUAUUGUAGAUCCAAAUCUGGAGGUAAUUGGAAGACAAAUUGUGAGCAAGUGUAAAGGCCUUCCUUUAGCUGCAAAAUCGCUCAGUGGUCUCUUACGCUCUGAAUCAAAUGUGGAGGAAUGGGAAAAUGUGCUCAAAAGUGACAUAUGGGAGUUGUCAGAUGCAAAGAUUGACAUUUUGCCGGCUCUAUGGCUAAGCUACCAGUACUUGUCUCCGGAGCUAAAGCGUUGUUUUGCUUAUUGUUCGACAUUUCCCAAAGAUUAUUUAUUUGACAAGUCUAAAUUAAUUUUGUUGUGGAUGGCCGAAGAUCUUAUACAACCCCAAAAGAAGACUAGGUUGGAAGAUGUUGGAAAGAAAUACUUUGAUGAUCUAAUCUCACGGUCAUUUUUUCAAUACUCGUCUUCAAAUGAUUGUUUCAUCAUGCAUGAUCUGAUGCAUGAUUUGGCGACUUACGUAUCUGGAGAAUUUUGCAUUAGAUUGGAAGACCACAACUUCUCAUUGGACGUUGUGAGCAAGGGUCGUCAUUUUUCUUAUAUGCAAUAUUCAUCUAAUGUUGAUUAUGAGAGAUUUGACACUAUUUAUGAAGCUAAGUAUCUGCGCACCUUCAUUCUUGGCAAUCACUUUCCAUCGCCGAAAGUACGACUUGAUCUCCUUUUAGUGCUACAUUGUUUAAGAGUUCUCAAACUACGUGGGCAUGAUAUCACGGAGUUGCCUGAUUCGAUUAGCAACUUGAAGCAUCUACGGUACCUUGACUUGUGGUUCACUCCAAUCCAGAAAUUACCUGACACCGUAUGCAGUUUGUAUAAUUUACAAACGUUGUUGUUGUCAAAUUGUAUAUAUCUAGCUGAGUUGCCCACCGAUUUGAGAAGACUUAUCAACUUGCGCCAUCUUGAUUUCAGAGGUACAAAAUUAAAAAUGAUGCCCCCCCACAUGGGCAAGUUGAAAGAUCUCCAAACAUUUGAAGGUGAGUUUGUCUUGAGCAAAGAUGCCGGGGGAAACAUUGAUGAGUUAAAGGGGUUUCAGCAUUUGAGUGGAAAUCUUCAUGUGUCAGGGCUUCAAAAUAUCAAACGUGCUGAGGAUGCUUUGGAGGCCAAACUGAGGGACAAGAAGCUUAGUGACAUACGUUUGAAAUGGGAAGGUGACACUAUCGAUUCUGAAAACGAUAGCCGAGUGCUGGGCAACCUGCACCCCAAUACAAACCUAAAAGUACUGGUUAUAGAAGGAUACGGAGGUACAAAGUUUCCAGGUUGGUUAGGAGAUGAGUCUUUCUCUAACCUCGUCACUAUCCGACUUGAGACUUGUGGAUAUUGUUUCUCCUUGCCAGCAUUGGGGCAGUUACCCUCCCUCAAAAGGCUUGAAAUUUAUGGGUUAAAUGGAGUGGAAUCAGUGGGGUCUGAGUUUUAUGGGGGAAUUAAACCUGCAUUUAAAUCUCUAGAGUUUCUGAGUUUCUGCAGUAUGCGGGAAUGGCAAGAGUGGUGUUUCCCUGGAGGUGAAGAAGAAGAAGGCGGACAUUUUCCUAAUCUUUGCGAGCUUAGUCUGGAGAACUGUCCCAAACUAACGGGGAAAAUACCGUUAUACUACUUCCCAAGACUUGAGCGGCGUACGUUUGGAGGAAGUUAAUAUCGAAUCCCUUGCUUGUUCGCAAGAAUGCAAUAAAUUCAAUAUUGAACUCCCAUCCCUCCGUGAGUUGAAAAUAUCAGAUUGCCCGAAUCUGGUAUGUUUUGUGGGUGGUGGAGUGCUGCUUGCGCCCAACUUGGAGGAGAUAACUAUUUGCCAUUUUAAGAACUUGUGGUCAGUGCCCGAAGAUAUGCAAAUCUCGCUCCCAUCUCUUCCGUCUCUGUCCAUACAAGGGUGUAAAGAAUUUAAAUCAUUUCCGGAAGAAUCUAAAUUCCCAUCCCUCGUUGUUUUGAAGAUACAGGGAUGCCCAGAAUUUGUGGGUUUCCCCCAUGGAGGAGGACUGCAAGCGCCCAACUUGAAGGAGAUGGAAAUCAAAGAAUGUAACAAAUUCAGGUCACUGCCAGAGGAGAUGCAAAUCUCUCUCCCAUCUCUCGAGUCUCUGUGUAUAAGGGAUUGUCCAGAAUUGGAAUCAUUUUCGGAAGGGGGAUUGCCGUCUAAAUUGCGUUUUCUCAGUAUCUGGAGUUGUAAAGAACUGAUGGCAAACCGUAUGCGGUGGGGUCUACAAACACUCACCUCUCUCAAAUACUUGGAUGUCAGCUUCAGAGGAUGUGAAGAUGAAGAAAUUGGCGAAUCAUUUCCAGAAGAGGGGCUGCUGCCAACCACUCUCACUUCUCUCGGAAUCUACAAUCAUCCGAAUCUGAAAACCAUUGACGGCAAGGCGUUAAGACACCUCAUCUCUCUCGAGAAGUUGGAGAUUUAUUAUUGUCCUCAACUCCAGAGCUUGCCAGAUGAAGGGCUACCCACUUCUCUUUCUCGUCUAGAUAUCUUCCCAGUGUGAUUGCUAAAACAACGGUGCCAGAGAGACACGGAAGAAGAUUGGGCCAAGAUUUCUACAUUCCCAACAUAACGAUUUCUGGCCGAAAGAUAUGAUUUGCAAUGGUACGUAAUUCGUCAACGUGCGUUUAUGUGUUUAUUUACGAUCUGGCUGUGAAAAAUUUAAAUCAUAAACAUGUUUCAAAUGUUAAUAUUCUCGUAAUAACAAAUUUUACAGGUACUCCAGUCCCAUAUAAACAUGAAAGUAUUUGCGAUAGAAACAUACGGAGCUACAAAAAUUCCAGAUGACUCGUUCAUUCUCUCAUCUUGUUACUCUUCGACAUGUGGAUUGUGAAUAUUGUUUUUCAAUGCCAGCAUUGGCACAGCUACCAUCUCUCAGAAGGCUUGAAACUGAUGGGUUAAAUGGAGUGGAAUUGUUCCUCGUUUCUUACUGUGUCUUACGGUGGUUCUAUUAUACCACAGUUUGUUGAACGAACUAGUCUUCGGUGAAAAACGAGCUUCAACAAGUUUACGAGCCCUAGUUUCCGAAUUUCCUUUUUCAAGUUUGUUUGCCAAAUUAUGUCUAUUGAGAGGUAGAUUUUGGUACUUUGUGGAAUUCGAAUUCAAAUGUUUGGUUUGUAAAAUAUGGAUGAUGAUUUCGUUUCUGUGGAACUGUGAAUCUAUGAUCAUGCUUGAAUGUUGUAAGCCCAGAGUAUCGAAAACCCUCGGUUGUCUACUAAUCGAUCUCAAGCGGCCUAAAUUCGAUUUGUUUAAUUAGUAUUGCAAGAUGAUCUUAUCUACUAAUCAUGUCUUUAUCAAAUGAUUACCACUUCAUCAUGCCCUCAGGGAUGCACAGAGCUUCAAAAGUUUUCAAGUUGCUUCGCAUGUGUAGGUUUGAAGUCGUGCAAUGAUAUGUACGCGAAACUUAUGAGCAAACAAAAGUAAACAACUCCUAUGCAUAAAUGUUGGCUGCCAGAAAAUCUCAGUAGUACCAGAGAAGAUAAGCUUGUAAUAAAUUUCUAAUUCUCAAAACAGAGGAAACAAGAGAAAGAAGAUCUACAUAUAAGUGCCCCUAGUUGGCCGGCACACAUGAUUUCUUUUAUGAGCAUGUUCUUCAUUAUGGUGCUGUGUCCGACAUGCAUAUCCAUACCAGCAAUUUUCCCUGUUUGAUGCCUCUGUGGGUAGAUGAUAUUUGGGAAUCGAAAUCCGAAACCAGUACAAGAGCAAGGAGAUCAGCUUCUCAUAACAGUAAUUGCACGUAGGUGUCCCAGAAGUUAUUGCCUCAGCAUGAUUCUGGGGCAUCCUCGUUCGAUCAAUUUCUCUGUUGUUCAACUUUGCAAGCCAUUCUGCAAUAACAUCCUGCAAUGUUCUUCCCAACAGUGCAAUACAUUUCUCAGUGAUAACUUGUUCAUGUCGAUUGUUUUCAUGUGCGGAAGUAGGGAUUCUAGAGAUGGUCAGUUCUGAGAUUGGUUUAAAAGUCUCGCGAAUGCACACACAGCGAGAAUCACUUUGUGCAACCCCUGCGUGCCAAUAUGUACCACAAAAUGCCUGAUCACAUCCUAAACAGUGUUGAGGUACACUGUUAUUACUUCAUGAGGCGUCAUUCCUUCGCAUGCUUGACAUUGCAGAUGGAUAGUGCUUUGAUUGCAAACCCCACCAUAUUCAGUACCACAUUGAGGGCAUAGAUUUGACGCAGUACCAGCUUCAUCAUCCACCUGAGGGCGAGCCCUUAUUCCUUGAAGAUGUUUUCCAAAGUUUACAAUUCAGAUUAUAUCGUAUUGUCGCAUAAUAGUCUAAAAUUUCCACUUCGUCAUUGGGGCAAAAAAUCCGCUUUUAGUAUUUCCUCCGCAAUGUUGAGCAAGAAGUGAUCAUUUACUACAAUAUCUUCUCAUUGUGUUUUGUUCUAAUAGUUGUCCUAUUUGUUUCUUUUGUCUACCGUACUUUAAACUACCAUCACGAACAUACGAAAUUACUGUCUAUAGAGCUUUUCGGUUUUCUGGUAUCUGUUACAGCUUAAUACUAGAAAAAUUGCCCCCGCUCUGCUGUGGGGUUUCAAACUAUAAUUGACAACAGCCAUGAAUAAUAUUCAUAGAAAAAUUCACUCAAAAGGCAGCAGCAACACAAUCGCAUUCUCAAAUGCAGCAAUUUAGACAACGCACAUUUUACUUGAGUAAUUCCCACAAAAUCACAAAUUAACAGUCAUCUCCAAAUAAUUGAAAAAUCAAGAGAUAGGUGAAUCGAUACGGUAAAAUAAGCAGUUCAAUUUGAUUUUACAUUCUAUUAAGUUAACAUCAAGAGCCAAUAUAUUUAUGGUUAUGGUUUUCAAUCAGUGUUUUAUUGUCUUCUUUUUAAAUUAGUGGUUCUUUUCAAAUACAAAGUUUAGUCUUCUUAGCAAAGUCAUUAUUUUUUAUAGUGGUUGGUUGAAAUAAAGAGGUAGUAUGAAAUUGUGACCAUUAGACAAUAGUAUGGCUGUGAUCUAAUAGUAAAUGACCUUAAUUUCACACAUAAGUUUGGUUUCAAACUUACUACAUAAAAACAAUGUCAACUUGCAAGACACUAUAUGAACUGGCUGGAUAGCUAGUUGAAUAAGCUUGUUCCCCUGUUUUCCCUUUCUUUUGAGUAAUUUCCUCCUUCCCCUCCCUCCCCCCAAACCAUCUUCAUCCCAUUUUGCACUUUCCCAAAAGCCUUUUCUCUAUCCCCGUCUUCACUUUAUCACAUGCUUUUUUAUCCUAGCCAUAAUUAGACUAAUGGGAUUUAUACCUAGAGACUAAUGUGCUUUUUCACAUGCUUUUUUCUCUCAAAAUUUAUAGAAAUAUGAAAAUGAUCAUCACAAAUUUCAAAUCCUGCAAUAACCUAAAUUAAAACAAUUAUUCAAAUUCCUAAAUUAAAACAGCAUUUAGAAGCACUAUAAACUCAAAUCACAAACAUCAACAACAUGGUGAGAAUGAAGCUUUAUCUUAUAGAAAAUGAUAAAUCUUUCUCAACCAAUAUGCUAAAAAUGUCCACCACCAGUAUAUAAUAAAAAAACAGAAGGCUAACUUCAUCACAUAGCACCACCUUUAAACGCAUUUCUUUCAGAAAUUAAAUUAAGAAAAAAUUUGACAUUCACAUGCCACUCAUUAAGAAACUAAUACUAACUGAAGUUGUAUAUUGUAAAAUGCAACCGCUUUUAGAAUUCCUAAGUCAUAUCUGUUAGCAAGAAACCCAUACUAACUCAAGUUGUAUAGUGUAAUAACGCAACUGCAAAAAGACCAAGCUUCUGCUACUAAAAAGCUUUUACAAAAUCAUAAAACUCUUAACAGUUUGAACCCUACCGGAAAGUUUAUAUGAGUUGAAGAACAGUUGUACUUAAGUGCAGCAAGAUCAUAACCUCUUGCAGUUUCUCCUCCAUGUCAAAACCACCUGCAGUCCAAAUUAAGAAAGAUUCAAUGCCAGAUCAAGAACAAAAUAGUAAUAAUUUAAACUAAAAUCCUUAAUUAUUGUUGCAGAGAGAAUUCAUAUCAAGAUUAACUACAAUAUUUAAUUCGAACGGAAUCCAAAAGUAGCAUAAAUAUGAAAGGUAAAAAAUUAAUAGCAAAAGUCACAUUUCAGCAGCGAUUAAUAGCAGAAAUCAAAGUUCAGUGGCAGGGACCAAAUAAACCUCUGGAUUUCAGACUACUUAACAAAUUAGACAAACACAUAAUCCAAUUUCAUCUUUUUCCACUCAUUUUUUUCUUGCAACACUGUUGGGCACCAAACAUCACCAAAACCGAGCUCGCUGACACAUAAAUAAGCUACCGUACACUUUUUGAUGAGGUUGGCAGAGAGCUCAAUUUAGUGGCGCUCGUACCCUUUGAAUACGUCGCUCGUCUUUCCCUAAGUUUCUCUCUGCAUUCAACCCAUCACACAAUUUCAACAAUAAUUCAGUUUGAACGAUCUGAAAUCAAUGGAAUCGGAAGUAAAUACCUAUUUCGAUCGGAGAUUUGAAUGGAUCGCCGGAGACGAUGGCUGAAGAGCAGUGGCGGGUGUUUAUUUUUUGUUCUAGGUGGUGGUGGCGGCGGCUUGCUGUCGAAGCGAUUGAAACGGAUGGAAACAACAAUGUGCGCGAAAGGAAACCUCUCUCUCUACAUGUGACCCUUCCUUUCACCGCCAAAAUAAAGCAUCAAAACACCUUGGUUGCUCCUGUUAGAAGAGCCUUACUUGCUACUGUUCAGUGCCCCCACCCCUCCCUCUUUCUCUCUGCCUCUGCAACCCGCCUCUCUCUUUCUAUUUUUGCCUUACCGAAUGUCAGACCAUCCUCAGUCAAUCAUGUCAGUGGAAUCCUCACAAAAUCCCUCACUCAAUCGGGUCAGUGAUAACCUCCCUCAAUUUCCUCCCUCACCCUCGGCAACACCACCACUCUCCCAAACCUGAGAAUGACCAAAAUACCCACGCAAUUUCCAAUCCGAUGCGUCGGAUUUAGAAAGUAGAUAGGAUAAAAUAGGCAUUUGACGUUCAGGGCUUUAACCCAUUCAAUGGUCACCAUCGAAGCCCACUUCGGGCCCAAAACCAACAGCCCUAAAAGACCCAAAUUAUGGUCAGCGGUAGAGAUGUAAAUAUUCAGCCAAAUCUGAUGGCAUUAUUGUAAGUAACGUGAAAUAGAGGGGCAAAAACUUGACUGUAGCUACAGUCAAAUUCUUCCUCAGUUUUAGAAUAGAUAAUGUUGAGCCUAUGACAGCCAAAAUACAUAGCUUGUUUUCUGUUGAGACGCUUCUCUCAUAUCUGGCCAAUUAAUGAAGAGCAAACUACGACACCAUUAUUCAAAAUUUGACAAAGUGAAGUUUUCCUCUAGGAAUCUUCACCUUUCAAGCUAUAUAUUUUCUGGUUCUCAAUUCUUACAAUUUUCAUUGUUUUGUUGCUAACUUGUUUACUCACCGCUAUUCAAAAUUUGACUCUUUCUUUUGCGCUAAGUUGAUUUGCCCUGAAAUUUGCUAAGAUUGCUCAAACGUAUUUCUUUUACAAUUUUCUCUUGUGUUUGCUUUAAUCGCGUACUGACGUUGGUGAUUGAGAAAAUGACAUUGUUGAUGUCAAUGCUCAACUUUACUGUUUACUUUUUGUAUAGCUAAGUUUAUUGUAGCUCGAGAUACGUUCUUUAUAUGUGAGUAAGUCUUCCACCAAAUCAGAAACUAAAGCGUUUUAUAUACGUUGAAACGUGAUUGGAAGAUGCGUUGUCAUCCAUUCUUUUCGAUUUCCUGUGCUUGAGUUAUAUUAUUUCCUCCAUGAUUUGAAGUCGUUUCCGAAGUAUAUUUAUUGGGAUUUUGAGAUGCGCGUUCUGGUACUUUUUGGAAUAUGACUUGAAACUUUCAGAGCAAGCGCAAACCAGAGUUUACCGUUCUAAUUCCUCUUUUGAUUAUACAGUUAUAUUCUCAAUUGUCAUUACCUCGAGAUUACUUGGUAAUGACGUGAUUACACAGUUAUAUUCUCAACUUGCUAUUACCUCGAGAUUACUCGGUGGUAGUGACAUGAUUACACAUUUAUAUUCUCAGCUUGUCAUCAUCUCGAGAUUACUCGACAAUGACAUAAUUAGAUUUCAGCUUACACUAGUUACGGCUAGUGUAUGAUUUUGUAUGCAUGUAAGAUAGUGUCAGAGACCCAUUAAGUGUGGUCCUUCGGGGAUGCAAUAAAUGUGGUUACUUGCAGGUGUUUUAAUUUGGGCUUAUCCCUAUUUCGGUAGAUUUUAAUAGUUGAAAACUUGAGUUAUGACUUUAUGCAUAUUAUGGAUUCGUCACCAAUCCACGUGAUGGCCAGCUGAUAGGAUUUUUAGUAUUUGCAUAAAGAGGGUUAAAAAUCAUACAAAAUACUUGUAAGAGAACAAGGUAGUUGUAGUAAAAAUGCUCAUGUAAGGUCGUUCCCACAAGGAUUAUCUAAAACAAUUUAUGUAAAAAUAAAAUCUUAGUUAAUUAUUUGAAAACAAAGUUUGAAAAGAGUGGUUUUUCAAUCUAAAUAAUAAAAACGAAUUUAAUAAAAGUAAUUGAGGAAAAUCAACAAGAAAUUAAUUUUAAAGAAAUCAAAUUAAAAAGAAAUGGCCUUGAGAAAUAGAUUUGUAAAAGCAUUAGGGUUCCACUGUCAUCUUAACAACUCUUUGUAGAUUCACUAAUUACUUAUGAAUUACACAUGCAACUUUGAAUGUUAGGUUUUCCUAAUGCAUAUUUAACUUGUGGCAUUCAAGAUAGAACGUAUAUCAAACAUGCAAUCCGUCUAUAGCAUUCAUAUCAAAUAUAAACAUGCAUGACUCAUUAUGUUUUGUGAAAACCCUUUGAAAAAUCAUGCUACCUUUAAGACAUGGCAUUCGCCCUAAUUGACUUACAAUUAUUAAUCAUAAGAAGCAUUCCUCAAUUUCAAGGUGACAUUCCAACAUAAAUUGCGUCUGAUUGCUUAUCUAAACAUUCUAAUGGUAGCAAAGCAUUAAAACAUAGAGACUAUUUAAAUGCAGUGAUUAAUAAUUCAAAGCAUGCAUACAUAAUAUCAUAAGCAAUAAAAUAAAAACCACAUAUUCAUGCUAAGGCUAAUGGCCCCACCCUAGCAAAAGAAAGUUAAUUAUGCAUAUUCAACCAAAAGAGUUUUAUUGAAAUAGAAAAAGAGUGAAAACACCUUGUAGAAUAAAGUUUGAAAAUCUCUUAAACUUUGGCCAAAAUUCUCUCUCAUAUAUCACGUUGAAAAGAAGAACAUAGGGCCGGCCACAAUGGCUUAUUUAUACUACUUAGAAAAUCCAAUCCUUCCUAGAAAAUGACUUAAAAUAAAAUUAGGAGACCAAAUAAAUUGAAAUAAAUUAGAAAACAUAAUCCUAAAUUGACUAGGAUAAUCAGCUCAAAAUCUGCACAACGACGUUUUGGAUCCAAAUCUCCUCCAAAAGUGGCCCAAAAUAGCUGGAUUUAAAGUUUCAAAUAAUCUGAACACUUCUCCAGAAGGUCAUGAACCCAACAGAGGUCAUCUUAGGCUCAUAAAAUCGUAAUUAAGCCAAAAAAGUCACUUUUCAGCAUCACGCAUUGCUUUUUUAUUUCAUCGCUAGAAAAUAACCACUUGGUAGAAAAAAACCAAAAUUUUGACACGAACGAGCUAAAGGACUCACGAACGUCCUCCAAUUUGAAUCAAUUUAAAAUUCACCCGUUUGAUCACGUUUUGCUCCAAAGGAUGUCAAAUGUUUUAUAUUGAAAAUAUAAAGUUAAGUAUCAAAAUUAUACCAAAAUAAUUACCAAAACAUACUAAAAUAGGAUAAAAUAUAUAAUAUGACAGACCAAAAAGCUAUAUGGUAGGUGUGCCUGCUUUGUGACUAAAGUUCGCUCUGCUUUUGACCAAAGGCUCCUCCAUGCCUUGUGAGAUUUCCAAUCAGCUUCCAGCCGCCAUAAUACGGCACUAUUAGUAUUGUAUCAUUAUAUCUAUACGAAAACUUCAGUUGAUGGGACACGGUUUACCAACAGUGAUUUCACGAAAAUACCUUUGGUUUUUCUUCCCUUUCCUGCUUUGCUUUUUAAUCUUAAACAGCGGAUUUACAAAUUUCCCCUUACUAUUUGUUGGCUGGGGGUGCCACUACCUCUUAGAAGAUACCUGUUUGUUCCAUUUGCGUCCAGAAUCUCCCCAGUUCUCUCUAUCACAAACCACGAACCAAAAAAUCCUCUCUCUAAAAAGACCACGAACCCCAGCACAAUCUCUCUCAAAACCUGUUAACCACAACACAAUCCGGUCCCGAUUCGAAGAAAGCUUUAAGCCCAGAAAAAGUUCGGUUUCAUGGUGAGUUCUCCUACCAAUUUGGGGCUUCUUUUUGUUUUUUCUUUUUUUCUGGGUAGCAUGCAGUCUUUUCUGAGUUAAUGGUCGAGGCUUUGUUAUAAAAAAGAGUAGUGGUUGUGGGUCAGUUAGGUACUCAAGAUUCUUGAAUUCUAGAUGUGUUGAAUUUGGUUUUUUUUUUCACUAAUGGUUUUUUUUUCACUAAUGGCUUGCUUCAUAGAAUUAAUACAAAUACAAAAUGGAAAAAUGAUUUUAAUCCAUAAAUAAUAUUCAAAUACUUGAAAAGUUUGUUUUAAAUUGGGUUUGGUUUCAUUGGUUUUUCUGAUUUUGAAACUUUUGUUUUCAGGCUCCAAAGGCUUUUAGGGGCCUGUUUGGUAUGAUAUUAAAAAAAAAUCAUUAUUUCUCAAAACAGUUUUUUAAGAAUAUCUUUUAAAAACAAUUUUCUUUUAAGAUUCAAAAAUUUGUUUAGUAUGAGAUUUAAAAUUAUUUUUAAAUCUUAGAUAAGAUUGCUGAAAUUAAGUAUGGUUCCUUUGCAGGGGAGUUUGUUUUGAUUUUUUGUGGAAGAAUUCCAGUUUCCAGCGCUUCGUAUUCUUCAAUUACAGGUAAAUGAAUGUUGCAUGUGAAAUUUUUUUUCAACAAAUAAAGAAAACCCUUUCGUUGGGUUGGGCGAAGCCAUAUUGCUUCUAUUGGCAUAAAACUAUACAGCUGAAGAUUUUCUGUACUUAAUUAUCAAAGUAUGCGGUGGUUUGAUAAUUAAGUACAGAAAAUCUUCAGCUGAUAUCCUUCUUCUCUUUGCGUGAUAAAAUCAUGUUUUUUGGAUUAUGAUGCUUAUUCUGAUUCUUAUCUGUAAACCAUUGAUGAUAUAACAUUAUAGGCUUGGGGUAGUAGGUUUUGUAGUCUUUUUCCUGAAAUAUAACUGAGUACUUCAUAAUCGUUGCAUUCCUUGGUUUGUGAUUUUGUUGCUCGAGUACCGAGGUUUAUCUUUUGGUGCUCUCUGAUUGGUUCUCACAUUUGAGUCAUCUCACCAAAUCAUUAAUGUAGAUUUCCUCUUGAAAUUUUAGGUAGGUGGCGAUCUCUGCUUGGCUCUAUCAGUUGAUUCACAUAACCUAAUAAUUGAAGUCUUCUUUUCCUUGGGUCGGAAAAAUGGCAAUAAUUCUACUUGAGUUGAUAUUUCUUAAAGAAAAACUAAUGAAAAAAAAAUCAAAUCUUUACAUUUUAAUAAAAAAUCAUCUACUAACUUUAUUUAAUGAUAAAGACAAAAGAAUUAAAAAAAAACAUAAAAAACCCAACUUGCGCUGGGCGCAUCCCCCAACCCCCUUCCACACUCCACUUUUUUUGAUUGUUUGAUACAUUAAUAUAUUUUUUAUUUAUUUUAUUUUUGCUAAAAUAAGAAAAAGAGUUCAAACUGAAUUACAUUCCCCAGUUUUAUAUUUGUGGUGUUUUUUUCCCAAUAAUAGUCAAGAUGAUGAGAAAUUUUUCAAUGUGACCGGAGCACGGGGUGGUACACCACGUGUCUCUAUACAAGUUGUGAGAUUCUUGUGUUAAAAAAUUAAGUACACAAAAAAUAAAAAUUUUCACUACUUACAUAAUAACACGUGGUGUGCCACUUGUGUUAUGGGCACAAGGUAAAGUUUCUCCAAGAUGACACUCAAGCUCAAAAAAUUGGAUGGAGAGUUACAUUUAUUUUUGUAGGUAUGUAAAAAAAUGUGAGGAAAUUUUAAUUUAGUAAUUGAAAACAACUUUUUAAAUAUAAUUUUCGAGAACAUAAUCUUCUCAAGGAUUUGAUCUAAUGGAUCAUUUAUGGGUUUAUCGUUUUGGGCGCAAUGAGUGCUUUUACAGGACCAAAAAGAGUAAGUUUCAAACCUUAUGAAACUGAACCAAGAAGUAAACACUAUUUAUAAAAGUUGACCAAUAAGCAGACACUAUUUAUGAAACUAAAUCAAUAAGCAGACACUAUUUAUGAAAUUGAACCAAUAAGUAUACACUAUUUAUGAACGAAAACAAGAAUUAGACAUUAUUUCUAAAACUAAACCAAUAGAUGAAAAUUAUUUAUGAAACUGGACUAUACAAUAUUUACGAAACUGGACUAAGAAUUAGACAAUAUUUAUGAAACAAGAUCAACUAGGCAUUAUUUAUGAAAGUUGGCAAAUAACUAGGCACUAUUUAUGAAACUGGACCAAGAAAGAGACUAUUUAUGAAAUUAUACUAAUUACUAUACAUUAUUUAUAAAACUGGACCCAAUAACUAGGCUUUAUUUAUCAAACAUGAUCAGGAACUAGACACUAUUUAUGAAACAUAAUCAAGAUUUGGACACUAUUUAUGAAAUUGGACUAAUAAAUAUUGUAAUACCGUUCAGAUACUGCAAUUUAAUACAGUGUUUGGUUUCAUGCAUGCACGGGUCUUGUGUGUUAGGUAUUUUUUAUUUUUAAUUUAUAUAUAUAUAUAUAUAUAUAUUAAAAUUGUAUCAUUUUCAUUAAAAUUUAAGUUAUUUUGUCCUUUUGGAAAAUGUACCCAUGUUUUGGUACAAUAAAUUUUUUACUAUUAUUUAUGAAUGUAUAUACACAAUAUAUUGGAGAGUAUAAUUUAUCAUUUAAUAUUUUUAAUUCCACUAAUUAUGGGUUUUAUUUAAAAUCUCAUAAAUAUAAACAAUUAUAACUACAAAUUUCAAUUUUCAAUUUAAGCAUAUAAUAACUUACAUAUAAAUACAUUAUUUCAUUAAUGUCAGAGACCUAGAUCAAAAGCUGAAAACCAACAAGUUUAAUAUAAGAUCCAUUCUUAGUAUAACAUGUACCCAUUUCUUUUUAUAUAAGAUCCAUUCAAUUUUUUUCUAAUCUAUAUUUUAAACUUCUAUGGGUAUAUUCUAUUUUGUUGAUCUAAGAAUGUAUCCCUGUCAAGUUUAAUCAAAGAAAUUUAAUAAUGUUAUUAAGUCUUUUUUUUUUUUUUGUGGUUUUGGAAAAUGUACUCAUGUUUUGGUACAAUAAAUUUUUUUACUAUUAUUUAUGAAUGUAUAUACACAAUAUAUUGGAGAGUAUAAUUUAUUCUUUAAUAUUUUUAAUUCCACUAAUUAUGGGUUUUAUUUAAAAUCUCAUAAAUAUAAACAACUAUAACUACAAAUUUCAAUUUAAGAAUAUAAUAACUUACAUAUAAAUACAUUAUUUCAUUAAUGUCAGAGACUUAGAUCAAAAGCUGAAAACCAACAAGAUUUCAGUUAAAGAACAAUGAUAGUUAGGGACCGCAUCCAAACUCUCCCCUUAGAAAAUUAUUAUUCUAAGCAAUGCACAUCUAAAACUAUGAUAUCUCAUCUUAUCAAUCUUAGAUUUAAAUAGUGACUAGAGAUUACAAAGAGAGAUGAAAACAAGUUUAAUAACAAUUAACGAUUUUGUUAUUGCAUGAUUCAGUGAGUUUCUUACUAAAUAACAUCGUAGAGGAGAAAUGAUCACUUGUAGGAAAAUGAUUCAAUGAGUUUGUUACUAGAUAACAUUUGAUUCAUUUUUUAUUUGCUCAAUAAAACGAUUAAAAAGAAAUUAGAGUGUGUAUAAGUAACAAAUUAAUGAGAGUUUGUAAACUGUAAAAAGAAAUGAGAGUAUGUAAUGGGAUCGUUAGCAACAUAAUCAAGAAUAAUCAUAUGUUUAUCUCAUUGAAUCAGCAUUUUCUAUUUGUCAAAGAAUAAGACAAACAUAAUGAUGUCUAAAUUCUGAAGUUGGAAUACAACUAUGAUUCAUUGAGUUUCUAUUUGUCAGAAAAUGUAAGUUGAUGUCUAACUUCAGAGUUGUACGGCUGUAGAGUAUGCUAUUUAUUUCAUCUUAUACUCCAUAUUUGUGCUUAGAGAUAAAGCAAAAGGAUGUAUUAGAAACUUCAUCAAGCAGCCCUUUUGUUUUAAUGGUUUUCCGGUUGAUGUUUUGUUUAAUGGUUGCUCUUUUGCGACUAAAUUGGUGGUUUCAUAUAUUAAGUUCAAUUGUUAAAAAGUAGAAUUUUUCUUCGGUUUGGACGGUAUUUUUUCAUAUAUUUAAUUACUUACAUAACUUGAUCGUCUUUGUUUCAACUCUGUUUGCGUUAUGAAUAGCAGCUCUUUCCAAUUUAACAUGGAUUUAUUUUUACAGUGUAAUUAUCUACAGAAAAUUUCUCUAAAGAUGCUGACAAUGGAGGGACACUGAUUCUGAACACAGUGGGCAAGUCUUUACAAGCUAAUUCCGUAGGUAAUAGAAACUACGCCUUUUCUCUCUGCUUGCAUGCUUUUUAACAUAGAGAGAAAUUGAAAUUGUACUUUAGAAUUAGCGUUCUUUUUGAUGAUCUACUGCCUGGUAAGGGUUCUUGAAAUUGUAUUUUAGAAUUAGUAUUUUUCUUGAUUCAAAACAAAAGGUCUAUAAUUUCCUUCCUACAUUCCAUGUAUGUACAUAGUAUUGCGUGUCGUAAAUAUAUUUACAAAUUUUACAUGUUUUAUACGGUUUUGAAACCCUCAACAUAAGGGACCUAUGUUUCAUUUGUAUUUAUUUUUAGAACACUUCCAGCCCAGCCAAGUCCCCUGAGCGAUGAGCUUUGGAAUCCCCCUACCAAGAAAAAAAAAAAAACGGCAGCUCCAGCCCAUUCCAAUAACCUGGGCUCCCCUGGAUCCCCCACUUUUCCCCCAGGUCCGAAUUGACUGGCCCACUUUGAUGUUAGCCCUGAUUAGAAAAAUACAAAAAAUACAAAAAGUUAUAAAUUUUUUCUAUAAAUAGCUAGCCAUAUUUUUCCACUUUACAUCACAUUUCAAUAUUUUCAAAUACUUUUUAACCAAUCUUUUAUUGUCAUUUGAAAUUAAAAAUAAAAUUAUUUAUUAUUUUAUUAAAAAAAUAUUUGGUGGAGAUGCAUUUGGACAAUUACUGUUCACUAAAGGCCGUUACUAACUUACUAUUCACUUUGACCGAUUGGGCUGCCGACGAGAAAUGACUCCAAACGCAUCUACUUUUGUGUUGAAUUAGUUUAUUUGUUUAAACUACAUAAAGUCAAUUCAAUAACUCUUGGUUUGAAUUAGUUUAUUUGUAGCGAAAACUAACCAUGGUUUUCGUUACAUUGAUAUUGCUAGCUAAUUUGUGAUUAUCUUCUCCCAGCAAAACUCAAUUCCAUUUGCAAAGAAGAGAUCGAUCAUGGCGUUGGAGGUGGUAGGUGGAGCCGCUCUCUCAGGUUUCUUCCAGCAAGUAUUGUGAAGUUGGAUUCUCAGGAGGUCAAGAACUUCAUUAGAGGAAAGAAAUUGACUGAUGGGUUGCUGGAGAAGUUGAGCAUCGAGUUGAUGUCUGUCGAUGCUGUUUAUUAUGAUGCCGAGCAAAAGCAAUUACGUGACCCAAGGGUGAAGCAGUGGCUGCAUAAGCUUAAAGAGGCAGUCUUACGUGCUGAGGACCUACUGGACGAGAUCAAGACAGAAGCGUUAAGGCGGAAAAUUGAAGCAGAAUUUGGAAGUUGCACAAGCAAGGUACAAGACCUCAUAUCUGCUUCUUUCCAUGCUUUUGAUGAGUCUGUAGACACCAAGAUAGAGGAAAUUCUUGAGAGGCUAAGCUCCAUUUCAAAACAAAAGGAUGUUUUCGGUUUGAAAGAACGUUGUAGUCACAGAAGCUCACAAACAUUGCCUUCAACUUCUUUAGUAGAAGGCUCUGAAGUGUAUGGAAGAAAUCAUGACACGGAAAUCAUCAUUCAAUUGUUGCUAUCAGAUGAUGUUACUUGUAAUACGAUUGGCGUCAUUCCCAUCGUGGGCAUGGGUGGGAUCGGAAAGACCACCCUUGCUCAGCUCUUAUACAAUGAUGAGAGAGUGAAGCAGCGUUUUGAGCCCCGAGCAUGGGUAUGUGUUUCUGAUGAAUUUGACAUUGUUAAGAUCACACAAACAAUUUAUGCAUCAGUCACUUCACAAACCUGUGAUUCCACAGACCUAAACCAACUUCAAGUCAAACUCAAGGAUGCUUUGGCGGGGAAGAAGUUUCUUUUUUGUUUCUUGAUGAUGUUUGGAACGAGAAUUACAAUAUUUGGGAUUCCUUAAGGCGCCCCUUCGAGUCUGGAGCUUAUGGAAGUAAGAUCAUUGUCACCGCAAGGAAUGAUGGCGUUGCAUCUACGAUGGGUACUCUUCAAACCCACUAUUUAAAGCACUUACUUGAGGAAGACUGUUGGUUUCUGUUUUCCAAGCAUGCCUUCAAAGAUGCAAGUGUAGAUCCAAAUCUUGAGGAAAUUGGAAGACAAAUUGUUAGCAAGUGUAAAGGCCUUCCUUUAGCUGCAAAAUCUCUCGGUGGUCUCUUACGCUCUGAAUCAAAUGUGGAGGAAUGGGAAAAUGUGCUAAAAAGUGACAUAUGGGAGUUCUCAGAUGCAAAGAUUGACAUUUUGCCGGCUCUAUGGCUAAGCUACCAGUACUUGUCUCCGGAGCUGAGGCGUUGUUUUGCUUAUUGUUCCAUAUUUCCCAAAGAUUAUAAAUUUAACAAGUCUAAAUUAAUUUUGCUGUGGAUGGCCGAAGAUCUUUUACAACCCCAAAAGAAGACUAUGUUGGAAGAUGUUGGAAAGAAAUACUUUGAUGAUCUAAUCUCACGGUCAUUUUUUCAAUACUCGUCUUCAAAUGAUUGUUUCAUCAUGCAUGAUCUGAUGCAUGAUUUGGCGACAUACGUGUGUGGGGAAUUUUGCAUUAGAUUGGAAGACCACGACUUCUCAUUGGACGUUGUGAGCAAGGGUCGUCAUUUUUCUUAUUUGCAAUAUUCAUCUAAUGUUGAUUAUAAGAGAUUUGGCACUAUUUAUGAAGCUAAGUAUCUGCGCACCUUCAUUCUUGGCGUUCUCUAUUCGCCGACAGUACAACUUGAUCUCAUUUUAAUGCUACAGUGUUUAAGAGUUCUCAAACUACGUGUGCAUGAUAUCACGAAGUUGCCUGAUUUGAUUAGCAACUUGAAGCAUCUACGGUACCUCGACUUGUGUAACACUCCAAUCCAGAAAUUACCGGACACGGUAUGCAGUUUGUGUAAUUUACAAACGUUGUUGUUGUCAAAUUGUACAUGUCUAGCUGAGUUGCCCACCGAUUUGAGAAGACUUAUCAACUUGCGCCAUCUUGAUUUGAGAGGUACGAAAAUAAAAAAGAUGCCCCCCCCACAUGGGCAAGUUGAAAGAUCUCCAAACAUUUGGAGGUGAGUUUGUCUUGAGCAAAGAUGCUGGGGGAUACAUUGAUGAGUUAAAGGGGUUUCAGCAUUUGAGUGGAAAUCUUCAUAUUUCAGGGCUUCAAAAUAUCAAACAUGCUGAGGAUGCUUUGGAGGCCAAACUGAGGGACAAGAAGCUCAGUGAAAUACGUUUGGAAUGGGAAGGUGACACUGCUGAUUCUCAAAACGAUAGCCGAGUGCUAGGCAACCUGCAGCCCAAUACAAACCUAAAGGUGCUGGCUAUAAAGGGAUACGGAGGUAUAAAGUUUCCAGGUUGGUUAGGAGAUGAGUCUUUCUCUAAUCUCAUCACUCUCCGACUUGAGAAUUGUGGAUAUUGUUUCUCCCUGCCAACAUUGGGGCGGCUAACGUCCCUCAAAAGGCUUGAAAUUGAUGGGUUGAAUGGAGUGGAAUUAGUGGGGUCUGAGUUUUAUGGGCCUGCAUUUAAAACUCUGGAGUUUCUGAGUUUCCGCAGUAUGCGGGAAUGGCAAGAGUGGUGUUUCC